rnacentral:lncRNA from 1 species
CGCGCCCCGGGCCGAGGGGGAGGAGCCGCGGGAGGAGGAGGAGCCGCCGCGCCGCCGCCGGAGGACCACUGCUCACCCCGGCUGCGGAGGACCCACCGGCCGCACGCCUGCCGCCCCGCGCCCCAGACCGCCAGCAUGAUCGCGGCGCAGCUCCUGGCCUAUUACUUCACCGAGCUGAAAGAUGACCAAGUCAAAAAGGUGAGCCCCCGCCCGCGCCGCCGCCGGCGCCCUGGCCUCAGCCUUGCAUUCCGGCAUCCGCUCGCCGCCGCCUCCAUCCUCCCGCGCCCGGCCUCCCCCAGGCCAGCAGAUGGUUGGACUCCAGAGCGCGGGGAGAUGGCCUCGCCCUGGAAUUCUCCCCGACAUUGUCAGCAUCCGUGUGUGUGUGUUGAGAAGAGGGGCGGUGGGCUGAAGACCCUCGAGACUGGGCUGCGUGCUGCAGUGUCCUUGAAUCGGGCCGUGGAUGUCAGAUGGGUCCCCGGGCCCAUUCGAAGAGCUGGUUGGGUGGGGACCAGCGGGCCGGUCCGCAGGGCCUGUUUGAAAGGGUCCGGGCGCCGUGGGCGUAGGGAGGCGUGAUCUCGCAGAGAUGCUGGGGAGGUGAGCGAGCAGCUGGCGGGGGUGCUGGCUGGAGGCCAGGCAUCCCAUAUUUGGGGUUCCCAGCGGAGGGGGUCGGGUGCCUCAGAGAAACUGUCAUCGGGCUCCCCUAGCUAUUGCAGCUGCUCCUUAAUCUGAGGACGGGGUGACCCGCCUGGUUUUCCGGAACCGGGAGGGGUGCUGAGGCCACCGGAAACUUUGCUCAUAGGCCUCGGUCUGGAGCCGCACGUCUGAAUGGAAUUUUUUAUUCCUCUUAAGCUGUAAUUUCCAGCCAGCUCACAUAAGAGACUGGCCACUUCAAUCGGAGGCCUUGACCUGUGUGCGCCUGUGGCCUGUGUUCCUGCACAGGGAUGCAUCUCCCUACGCUACGGGGUUGUUGCCUUUAAGUCUGUUGAGUGUAAAAUACUGUCUGUCUGCUGGCCAGUCUUAAAGCUAUAUCAUCCCUUUGCCAGCUUCACUAUGGGAAUUUACAGAAACAGUCCAAAUUGUAGUGGAAAACACCCAUUUUAUCAGUGCCCGUCUGGCACAGGUGGUUACUGCUGGGGUUAGGUGGGACAGACUGGCAAAGUCAACCUGACUUUGAAGUUCAGACAGGCAAUGCUACCUACAGGUCGGGGGCAGAAGUAACAGACCUUGAUUUUCUGCCCUGCAAGCCGCAGUCAUCCCUGUUCACCAGUGACUCUCUCAUCUGGCACCCUAGGAAACAGGCCUACUGAGGGCAGAGACCUCAUCAAGGUCAUUCAACCAGUUAGAGGUAGAGCCAGGGCGGGGCUCCUGCCUCCCUCCUCCCAGAUAAUUUGAUUGGGGUUCCUCCUGGAAGACAGCUGGAGGGGAGGUACUGAGAGACAGGGCCCCUGGAAAUACCACUGGGAUCCUAGAUCUGGUACUGCUGGGUGGGGACCAGGAGUGGGGUGGUUAGCUGAUAGGCUUGGAAAUCUGCCAUGAACCUGGGGUUGUCAAACUGUGGGACUCAUGCUCACAUCCCUGGAGCACCCUGGAGAGUCCUUCUGGCCUGACCUCAGGGAGCCAUGCAAACCGCUGCAUUUGACAAGUUUUCUUUAAAGGUGUUGUGCAUCACUGAUGCUCUUCCCACUGGAGAGGGAGACAGACCUCCCACCAUGACAAGUCACUGGGGUGGAGGCCCAAAUGACCUUGGAAGCUAAACCUCCAGUCGCCACACCCACCACCACCUGUGUGACUGCUAGCUGCAAUGCUUGCUGGUGAUGGCCUCCAGCAACUGAGUUGGGCUGAGGUUUGGACUGCACUCAGUGGGCUAUCUCAUCAGACAUGCAGUGUCUAGGGAGCCCUCCACUACCAUGAGUGGCCUGAUUGACAUAUGUCUAUGCAUAUUCUGUCACUCAGGCCCCUGUCAGUGUCUGACUAUGUGAUUUCUGAUUCAACUGUUUCUUCACUAAAUUCCUCCUCACUCUAAGAUUGUGACCCUGAUACCCUUUCCUCCUGUAGCCCCAGAACUUGCUGCAGGAGGAUCCUGAGGCCAAAACUUCCACCAGGCAACAUUGUUUGCUAAGGAGAUUCUUAAAAAACAAGUUGGCUUUCUUGCGGCUCACCUAGGACUUUUUAAGCUGUUCUUUUUAAUGGGGGAACGUGUAGGUUCUUGCAGGGCAUCAGCUCCACCUGCGUGGUAUGUUGUUGUGAACUGCCAUGUGUGGGUGUGGUCCCUAGGAAGCUUCUUGAGCCUUCUGAGGAUGAGCAUAGUGGACACUUGCUCCAGUGACCAGUGGGUGUUACCCACUGCCUUAUGUGCUGAUCUGCCCUCCUGGGGCUCAGGACAUAUUAGAAACCUGCCAUUCUCACCCACCACAUACCAGUGUGAAAGCCUGGCUGGGAGUGCAGAACUCCAAGCCCUCCACUUCUUGUGGGGCUGGGCCACGUGAAGGGGGGACCCAGUGAGGACUGCUUUCAUCUUGUGGGCGGCCAUGAUGAUUCAGCCAUCCAGCCUCCAGGGCUCUGGAUACAGACCUGGUAUUCCUUAUUAACCUGCAAGAGCAUCUUCUUGCUGUCUGGCCUGGAGAUGGGAGAUUGGAUUGUGCUGGGCCAGGUUUUCAGGUUUUCUCAGAAUACACAAGUGAUAAUGAAAGAGUAUCAUCACUCUCCUCAUUGCCUGUGAGGCAUAUUGGUAAUUCAGCCUCACAAAAAAAUCCGAGACCGAAACAGUUGAAGCAUCUGUUGAACUGAUAGGGCUUGCAGCCCUAUUUUCCGAGCACAUCUGCACAGUAUUGGUUAAUGGUGCUGUGAAGAGGGUGUCCUAGCAUUAGGCUGAAUGAAGCAUAAAACACAUAUUUUUCUUUCAUUCUUUUAAUGCUUUUAGGAGGAAAAGGUAGCUCAUGUGUGCUUGUGAACGAUUCCAUUCAUUAGAAUGCCAGACAUCUGCUCGUUCUGCAGCUAGAGGCCAGGUCCUUUGACCUCUAAGUGACUUUUAACAUGCCUCUCAUCCCAUCAGCUUCCUCUCCUGGGUGUAGCCAGUAAGGAUCUGGAGGAGGGUGAAGGAUUGCAUAGUGUGCUAUUUGUUUAGAAAAGGAAGAUGGAUCCAGGAAGGUCAGAACUUGGCCUCUAAAGAAAUAACUGACUUCCUUUCCUUCAGGCCUGACAAAUUGGUAAUAAAUACUAGUGGAGUUUUCUCUGGGUGGGAUCCCCAUAAUUCUAAGUAAUCUCCAUUAGGAGGUGAACAAACAGUUGUGAUUUGUCUAGUGGCCAAACCCAGGAGCCCUUGAGUGCUUGGCCCAGGAAGGUGGGGUACAGUAUGCUUAGCAAUUGAAGAGUGACCGUCGGUCCAUUUCCUUAGAGCCUCGGCAUUCAGUUGUAAAGGCAAGCAUAAAAACAAACACAAAACUCCUGUUCCUUAUUAUUGCUCAAGGGUAAGAGAGGAGAGAGUCAUAAAAUCAUGGAAACUCUCAUAUACCUGUCAAUGAGUGUCAGGCAGCGAGUGAAAGGUUCCCGUGGUGAAUCUUCAUUUCAUAAUCCCUGUUCCUCCACCUUGGGUCUUCCUAAGGUUUCCCCCCAAGAGAAGCCCCAUCCCUUCCUCUGGUUUGAUGAUUUGGGAAUGUGUGAGGAAAUAAACUGGGCGAGCAGGGUGGCUGUGAGGUGCGUCCACGCCUGUCCAUGCUGCGCGCUGCUCUCCCACGCUCCUGCUGUUCUCUGGGGGAAGCAGGCAGCUUUUCCCCCAAAAUACUGAUUGGGCGUGACUGGGACUGUGUGUGUGUCUGCAGUCAGGGGUUCCUGUUGAUAGAAUUAGCCACUGGAGCCAGCUCUGAGCAUGCCUGAGGAAGCCCCAGGGGAGAUGUUGGAUGCAGAGAGGAGUCAGUGGUGGCUAGACUGCUGGCACCUCCUCAUGGAUUUGAGACCCCUUAGGAUCAGAUCUGAUCCCAGGAAUAAUUGCAAUAAUUGUUUUGAAACAUGUUUGAGUCCUUUAUUAUGUGCAGAGUUAUGUGCUAGCCUGGGGUGACUGCCAUAAAUGAGGUGAAAGUGGAGCAUGAGUAAUUAUUUGCCGUCUUAAGGUGUGUGCAAAGCACAGACUGCUGUGGGAGCAGCUAGUGAGCUGGUGGUCAGACCCAGGGUGGGAAGUCACUAACUUAAGAACUACUUCAAGCCAGACCUGAUGUGUUAGCCUGGGGAGGUGUAGACAUUGGUUGGGGAAGCAGAACAGGUACCCACUGUCUCCGGCCUAAUAAACCACAACAGUGGGAUCUUAUGAUGCCACUUAAUGUAUGUUGGGUUAUCUUGGCCAUAUCUAAUCUUAAAGAAAAUCAGGUAAAAAUUUUAUUGAUAGGUUUUUUUUGUUUGUUUGUUUUGUUACUGAGGAUUUGAACCCAGGAUCACUUAACCACUGAGCCACAUCCCCAGCCCAUUUAUAUAUAUAUAUAUAUAUAUAUAUAUAUAUAUAUAUAUAUAUAAAAUUUUUUUAAAUGUUAUUAUUUUUUAAAAAAUUUGUUUUUUAGUUAUAGUUGGACACAAUACCUUUAUUUUAUUAUAUAUGUGGUUCUGGGGAUCGAACUAGGGCCCUGCACAUGCUAGGUGAACGCUCUACCACUGAGCCACAACCCCAGCCCCAAUGUUAUUAUUUUUUUUAUACCUUUAUUUUAUUUAUUUUAUGUGUUGCUGAGGAUUAAACCCAGUGCCUCACACAUGCCAGGCAAGAGCUCUACCACUGAGCUGUAAUCCCAGCUCCCCACCCCCUUUUAUUUUAAUUUUGAGACAGGGUCUCAUUAAAUUACCUAGAGCCUCGCUAAGUUGCUGAGGCUGAUUUUGAACUUGUGAUCCUCCUGCUUCAGCCACAUCCCGGCAAUAGAUAGAUUUUUAUUUCUGGAAGUAACAUUGACUUCUGGUAAACAACACAAAUGCAGAUACUAUAUUUAGAAACUUUGUAAAGUGGCAUUAAAUGGAUUGUAACUAAAAUGUGGUUUUAUUUUCUCUUUUUAUUUUAUUUUAUUUUUUUGUGGUGCUGGGGAUUGAACCCAGAGCCUUAUGCUGAGCUAUAUCCCCAGCCCUUAUUUUCUCUUUUUAAUGGUUUGUUAUCUCUGAGCGUCCUGAAAUACUUUAUAUGUGUCAUGUCAGGUAUUGAGUAUACAUAUAAAUAAGAUUAUAUUACAAAUGUUUGAAGCAUACAGAUGUACUAGUGUGUAUAUACUUUCACAACCCCCAGCAGACAGACUGUCAGGGCAGGAGGUGCUAUUUCUGCUCUUGGUAGGGCUGCUCCCUCCCCUGGGCGCCCUUGUCACCUGCCUUGAGUGCUACAGGCAGAAGGCAGAGGGCAGAGAUUUUAUUCCCCACUUAGAAACAGGGAAUGGAGGCCCACCCAGAGGAGAUAAGCACUUUUCCAAGGUCAAAAGAAAAUCAGGAUCAGGAAUGGGAUCCAGAGGGCUCUUCUUGCUCCCUCUGUUUCCUAUGGGAGAAAAACUCAUCUUGUUGACUUUAAUAGUUUGCCUUGGAAGCUGAAUUUUCAUUUUCUCCCUCUAGAAAUAAAAUAAGUUAAUUUUUUAUUAUGAAAUAUUUGAGGCACAUUAAAAAAAAUAUAUAUAUAUAUACACACACACACAUACAUAUACAUAUACAUAUAAUAUAUACAUAUAUAUACACACUGGGGAUGAACCCAGGGGUCCUUAACCACUGAGCCAAACCCCCAGCCUUUUUUUUUUUUAACAUGCUUUUAGACACAGGGUCUCAUUGAGUUGCUUAGGGUCUCGCUAAGUUGCUGAGGCUGGCUUUGAACUGUGAUCCUCCUGCUUCGGCCUCCUUGAGGUUAAUGAAACAAAUGUAUAACCAUUAUUCAUUUUGAGAUUUUUUUUUUUUUUGGUACCAUGGAUUGAACCCAGGGUUGCUUAACCAGAGAGCCAUAUCCCUAGCCUUCUAAAUUUAAUUUAAUUUUGAGACAGGGUCUCACUAAGUUGCUUAGGGCUUCACUUGCUAAGUUGCUUAGGCUGGUCUUGAACUUGUGGUCCUCUUGCCUCAACCUCUAGAACUGUUGGGAUUACAGGCAUGUACCACCAUGCCCUGCUCACUUUCAGAAUUUGACACAAUUAUAGUUACAUUACACAUUAUAUUACAUUAUGCCCCUUCCAUGCCCACCUCUGAUCCCAUUCUCUUUUCUGUCUAGAGGUGACCUCUGGACUGAAUUUGUUUAUCAUUUCCAUGCAUGUUUUUAUAUUUUCAGUGCAUAUGCAUGUAUCUGUGAACAGUAUAUAGUAUUGCUUUAUAUGGGCUUCACCUUUUUUUUUUUUUGGUUGUUGAUUUUUUAAAUUUAUUUUUUAUUCUAAUUUGUUAUAUGACAGCAGGAUGCAUUAUAAUUCAUAUUACACAUAUAGAGCAUAAUAUUUCAUAUCUCUGUAUAAAAAGUAUAUUCACACCAAUUCAUGUCUUCAUACAUGUAUUUAGGGUAAUGAUAUCCAUCUCAUUCCACCAUCUUUUUUACCCCACACCCUCUCCCUUCCCCUCCUAAACCUUUGCCCUAUCUAGAGUUCAUCUAAUCCUCCGAUGUUCCCUCUCCCAACUCCACUAUGAAUCAGCCUUCUUAUAGCAAAGAAAACAUUUAGCAUUUGUUUUUUUGGGAUUGGCUAACUUCAUUUAGCAUUAUCUUCUCCAACUCCAUCCAUUUAUCUGCAAAUGCCAUGAUUCUCUUUUAUUGCUGAGUAAUAUUCCAUUGUGUGUAUAUAUAUAUAUAUAUAUAUAUAUAUAUAUAUAUAUAUAUAUAUAUAUAUCUCACAUUUUCUUUAUCCAUUAUUCUUUCUGAAGGGCAUCUAGGUUGGUUCCAUGUUUAGCUAUUGUGAAUUGUGCUGCUAUAAACAUUCACGUGGCUGUGUCCCUGUAGUGUGCUGUUUUUAAGUUCUUUGGGUAUAGUCCGAGUAGUGGGAUACCUGGGUCAAAUGGUUGGGCUUAACCUUUUUAAAUGAUGCUAUCCUGAAUGUGUUCAAGCAUUUUUUUUUUUUUGUACCUAGUAUUGAACCCAGGAGCAUUAACCACUAAACGACAUCCCCAGCCCUUUUUUAUAUUUUAUUUUGAGGCAGGAUCUCGCUGAGUUGCUUAGGUCCUCGCUAAAUUGCUGAGACUGCCCUUGAACUCAUGAUCCUCCUGCUUCAGCCUCCUAAGCUGCUGGGAUCAUAGGCGUGCGCCACCGCUUCUGGCUGCAUCUUGUAUUGCUUAGUGUCAUGUAAAAGUUUUACAAUUGAUGAUAUACUGUAUGUCUCCUUUUCCCAAUUUACUUUCAAUGUCUAUUUUUGAGACUUUUUCAUGUUCAUCCUAUUAACUCUUAUUAAUUUAAACUGCUGUGUGCUCUUACAUUGUGUACAUACUCCACAGUUAAUUUAUGCAUUCUUCUUCUUCUUCUUCUUUUUUUUUUUUUUUUUUUUGGUGGUGUUGGGGAUUGAACCCAGGGCCUUGUGCAUGUGAGGCAGGCACUCUACCAACUGAGCUAUGUAUCUUGUCCUUAUGCAUUCUUCUUUUGAUGGGAACUUGGGUUUCUAAUUUUUCAGAAUAACUUUAUCUCUGAACUUUCUUUGAAACGACUCCUUUGGCGCUGGCGCACGUUUCUCUAGGCUCUAAGUUGCAUGCUUUAAGCUGCGUGUCUACCUUGGACUGGAGUUACUAGGUGCUGGGGUAUGUGCACCUUGUCAUCUGUAAGACUUUGCCAGAUUGUCAUCCUUGAUGGCCAUACCUUAUCACACUGCCAUCAAAGGUGUUUGUAGGUUGCCACUGUGCAUGCCAACCUUUUGUAAGGUCAAAUCUUCACAGAUUUGUAAGUUUUAGAGUCUGUUUCCUUCCUUAGUAAUUUCCAUUCACAUCGCAGGCAUUGGGGCUCAGUUUAAAAUUAACCCAUUUUCUAAUUCACCUUAUCAAACGGCUCUUGUUGCAGAGUUUUUCAGAGUGAAGUUGACAGCUCUCAUUGUGAGCCUUGUGCUCGACUGCUGGCUGCAGCUGAACCAUUUGUACAGUUUUGGCUGGGGGUGGCUGCCAAGGAGGGCUGGGGACAGCUCUCUAUAGUCCCUUGCAUUCUAGGGCGGUGCCUUUAGACUUUUCUGGGAAUUAAAUGCACUCAUACACUUUCGCUUCUGCGCUCUCUCUCUUCCUGGGUGGAUCGAUCCUAGGCAGAGAGGGCUUAUCUGUCCCUUAAAUGUGCCCAGCUCUGUUCAGAGAAAACCUAAGCCAACAGCCUUUCUCAGGCUAUCUUCCGUAAAAGGAGAGGGUGGCUGCACCCCCCACCCCCUCCCUGUGGCUGAGAAAACUGAAACGUGAAGUCUGCACGUUUGCAAACAGAAGCUGAGCUGUCCUUGUGCAGACAGAAAACACCCUCGAAGAUUCACCUGGAGUCCAUGCCCAUUCCCAUUUGGGGCUCCAGGUGCUGAGACCUGCCGGGGAUCUAACAGGCAGGGAGGAUUGCAUGCCUACUGUGUGCCUUUCCUUUUUCUUAUUGGGGCUCUUGUUUAAUCAUUAGUAAUAACGAAUAAUAAUCGAGGCCAACCUGUAAGAUAUGUCAUAUUUACUGCCAUGUAUCCUGCUAAAGGCAUUAUGAGCAUUAGCUUGUCUAAUCCCUAUAGGGUAUUGAACUCAGGGUCACUUAACCACUGAGCCACAUCCGCAGCCCAGUUUUGUGUUGUAUUAGAGACAGCGUCUUACUGAGUUGCUAAGCACCUCACCAUUGCUGAAGCUGGCUUUGAAUUCAUGAUCCUCCUGAUUCAGCCUCCUGAGCUGCUGGGAUUAUAGGCGUGUGCCUGUACUCCCGGCUCCCCAGUACUUUUUCAUACUUUAUUUUAGGGCCUCGGUAAGUUGCUGAGGCUGGUUUUGAACUUGAGAUCCUGCCUCAGCGUCCUGAGCUGCUAGGAUGACAGGCAUGCGCAACUGGCUUCUACUUUAUUUUCAGUGGGUCUGUAAUUCACAUGAAAUGAAAUUUCCCAUCUUAAAGUGUGCAGUCAAGUGGUUUCUAACACAUUUGCAAGUUUGUGCAACCGUCUAGUUCCAUCAUGUUUUCAUCACUCCAAAAAACGAAUCCUGUACCCAUUAGUAGUCAUUCCCCAUUCCUCCCUCCCCCAGCUCCUGGCAUCCACUGAUCUGCUUUCUUUUUUGUGCAUUUGCCUCUUCUGGACGUUUUGUAUAAAUGGAAUUGUACAAAAUGUGGCCUUUCGUGUCUGGCUCCUUUCCCUGGGCCCACAGUGUUCAAGGUACAGCCACCUGUGCAUGUGUCGGUGCUUCAGUACUCCACCGGGGCCACAUGGCACAUUUCAUUUGUCCUGUCAUGGUUCGUUGAUGGACGUGUGGAUUGUUUCGUCCCUCAGCUUUCCAAAUCCUGCUACGGUGAACAUUUGUGUGUGUGUUUUUCAUGUGGACGUGCGUUCCUGUCUCCUGAGUAGAUGUGUGGGAGUGGAAUUCCCAGAGAGCUCCUGCAUUUAACCCUCAUGACGAAAGCAUCAUCUCCACUCAGAACUGAGGAAACCCAGGCCCCCAAGUGGUGGCGUGCCCUGUUGAUCAUAGUUCACAGUGACAGUGACCAGAGUGCUCCUGCCACCCCCCUGACUCAGAAACCCGCAUUCUUUCCAUCAUGUUACACUCAACUCUUUCAUUUUGCUGUUUAGGGAGAUAUCCAAAGGGGGAAAGACUGGGCGGGGACAGGCAGAGCUGGCUCAGGGUCAUGCAGGAGCCCUGCUCCUUCCCAGCACCGGCUCCGUCCCUCCGCCCUGUGGCUGUGUUGGUGGUCCUCUCCACUUGGGAAGGUGGGAUAUUUUAAGUCAUUUACAGUGAAAUGGAAGGGAUUUGCUGUUUUUCAGAUUUCUUCCUGUUCCUUUUUCGUUUGUCCCCUUUUUCAUUUGAAAGAGGACCCCCAGAGAGGACAAUACUUAACCCAACCCCCACUGUCAGCCUCACUGGCCAUGCUGUAAAUAAUUAGUGGCCUCACCCAUUGAUUGACACAUGGGGCCUGCCUUCACUGGAGACCUCAUCUCUCUGAUGGAUCCUGGUGCCUUCCAGGACCUUGUCUGAGUGGGCAUGGUAAGUGGAGGAGACCCAGGCCACUGCUGUGAUGGACACCACGUCACCUUUGCUCAGAUCUGUUCCAUUUACAAAAUGCUUGAUUUAGUAAGAUGUUUGAUCUGGUUGAAUCCUUCCAGUGACCUUGGAUGUAGGUAUUUUUUCCCUGCCUCUUACACAGGGGACAGGUGAGGCUUAGAAAGUGGUGUUGACGUGAUCUCGGUGAUCAGAAAGCAGUGGGCCUCCUUGACACCAGUGGGCAGAUGUCACUGUGCAUGGAGAGCUAGAACUAUGGUCCAGGGCUUCAGAGUCUCAAAGCCAUUGAUGGGAUUUAUGGCACGCUACCCCAAAAUAUGACCCGCUGGCAUUUGGAAAGACAGCAGAAGCCAGAAAGUCACUACCACCUUGCCCCGCCCUUGUCCCUGAGGCAGGUCAUAAAACCCAGGAAGGAUUUUUUUUUUUUUUCUGACUUUCCCCUGAAGUCUUAAGACACAGCUUCUUUUAAGAUCUGGAGGAAAGGAGCCCCUCCCCCCCACCUCUGAAGAAACAGGGACACCAGACAGAAUCUGAACAGGCAGGUGUUGCUAAUCACCCCCAGUUUAUUACCAAUGGAUCAGACCCCCUUUGAGCAAUUAUAUUUCUCCACAGUGGUCCUUAUCUUCACCAAACCUGGCAUCAAAACUGCACCGGUUUACCUGUUUCUUGGGGUCUUCCUGUCCUUAUUAAGGAUCCUGUGUUAUAUGAAACUUUAAUUUGUGUGCUUUUCUCUUGUUAGUCUGUCUUUUGUUCUAAUGACUUCAGCCAUGAGCUAACAUGGGAAGGAGAGAUGUCUCUUUCCCCCUGCACCAUAUUCUGCAUUAUAGUGACUUCGCAGGUGAAACCGUCACCCAAGGCCGCCGCAGCGGAGAUGUAUCUGAAAUGCCAGAACCGUGCUGGCCAGCGCAGUGGCCACCUGCCCCAUGUGGCUGUUGAUCAUUUGAAAUGUGCCAAGUCCGAUUUGACAUGCACUGUUGAGUGUGAAAUUCACACAGGUUUUCCAGAACUCAAUGUGACCAAAAGAAUAUACAGUAGCCAUUGAUGAUUUUUAAGUAUUAAUUGCAUGUUGAAUCGUAUUUUGGCUGUUGGAAAAUUAAAAAUUACCUUAUGUGGUUCAUAUUAUAUUCUGUUGGACAGGAAACUCUGCUAGACAAUGAAUUUGAUGGUUCAGAAGCCUGAACAGAGACACACUCUAUUUUUUAUUUUAUUUAUUUAUUUUUGCAGUUCUGGGGAUUGAACUCAGCCUCGUGCGUGCUGGGCAAGUGCUCUACUACUGAGCUACUUCGCUAGCCCAGCCCCCUGCGUUUACAGCAGUGGGUUCCUAAGGGUCUUUGGGCCUCAGUUUCCUCAUCUGUAAGGAGGCUGGAAUCCAUGAUCUCAAAAGGACCCCUCCAGCUUGAGUAGGUGUUGUUAGGUGGUCAUCAAACUCUGUGGGCCUCUGUUUCCUUAUCUGUCAAAUGGGAUAAAUGAUUACUACCUUGUUAUCUACCCACUUAUCCAAUUAGAGAAUGGACAUGGAAGUGCUUAGAAAGUGUACAGAGCUGUGCCGGGUGUUGCUGUCACUCACUCAGAACACACCUGAAGGCACCUUGAGCAGCCAGGUGAGGGAUGGCAGCUCUCUGUAUAACCAGAGCCCUGAGCCUAGGCAAGGAUCCUGGGUGCCAUUCUGCCUCUGCUUCUGUGUGUGAGAGCUCACGGGCCCUCUGCAUGUCCAUAUCCCCUGGUCGAAUGGCAGAUCAGAUACCACCAUGGAAGCAUGUUGCCUGCAUUCUGAGGAACCCAAAGUGCUCUGGAGCUGGUGUGUCCGCCACUGAAGGCAGGAAGAAAUAUCCAUGUUUGACACUUGCCCAGAGUCCUGGAGGCAGUGCAGCUGAACGAGGCCCACGGGCUUUGAACUUGGGCCUGGUCCACCCCCACCACUGUCGUACCUGGGUCCCUCAGCACGAGGGUCUGGUUUUCUCAUAGUGAAGGUAGGCCUGUCCGCACUUCUGAUGUCCUCCUUUUGCUGGGGGGGCCUGGGAUGUUGGAAUUGUGAAUCUGGAGGCCGGCCUCCUCCCAAGCUUCUACAUGGGAGGCUGAGAAUGAAGCCUGCAGUUCCUGCCCUGCCACAUUCCAGGGCUGCUGCUUCCCCUUGACGCAUGGCAGCCUCCAGUAUUUUUAGCUGGUUCAACGUGACAGCUUUGUUCUCUUCCUGGACUGGGGCAUGGCCACUCUCACCUGCCUGGAAGCUCAUAUUAAUGGGUGCCAAGGUCACCUGGAGGACCUUGGGGCUGACCUCAGGGCCUUAUUGGCAAGAGGAGUCUGAGAAAUAAGGCAAGGAACACCGUCGGCUUAGGCCUGUGCUGCCUGGUGGCUCUGUACUCGGGACAGUUCUGCUUAACUGUGAAAGCUGAGGUUCCUCUUAUGUAAAACGAGGUCACAAAUGGCCAGCUUAGAAGCUGUGCAGGUUUGCACCAGGGCAGGGUGACAUGCCCAGUGUGAGCCUGGCCACAUUCUCAUUCCUAGAGCCUCAGUGUCCUCAUUGGGAAUGGGGAUCUUGCGUUCCCCCCAAUGGUUUGUGUGUGAACAGUUGCAUGAAUGGGGGCUGUGGGGGUUGGGGGGCUAGUCCACAGUCUUUGAAAGGGAACAGUCGAGAUGCAUGGCAGUGUGAUAACAGGUAUGCCUCACCUGGGAGAGGAGCUGAGAGAGGAACCACCUUGGCAUGGCAGGCGAGUGCCUAAGGGGUCUUUUUUUUUUUUUUUUGCUUUGGUGAUGUUUGUCCUGAGUCUUUCACUGAGGCGCCUCUGCAGUGGAAUUUAUUUCCCCGAGAACACUUCCUUAGGGGACCUGCAGAUAAUUUAGCAGUCUCCUGCAAGCUCAAAUAUGGACAUGAGAAUCCUGAUUAUCUUUAGGGCCCCUCCUGCCCUUCUGGGCCUCUGCCAGCAAGGGGGAUGCUUUGAGGGGAAGGAAGGGGUUCCAGGAAGGCGCCGGACUCGCCGCACCCCAGAGAGGGCCUGGUGUUGGGGGUAAGGGCUGGGCCGUUUGGGGAAGAGGAGUCAUUAGGCCUUAUCUGAGCCAGCAAGCCCUCUGAGACCUUCCUGGGCUAGGCGUCCCAGAGGUCUCCCUCCCGCCCAGCAGAGGAGCCACCCAGCUCAGCCAAGGAGCACCACGUGGCACCAUCCUCAGGACUCGGGGGCACUCAAAAGGCCCAGGAGGCUUGGCCCCUGCACCCCGGGCACUCGUGGUUUAGCAGGUGCCCGGGCCAUGCAUGUGUCCCUGCAGCACCCAAGAAAGACACACACCACAGUGAGUCCACUGGGGCCCACCGACUCCUCCAUGGUGGGCACCUAAGGCCGAGGGGAUGCUGAGGAGAGGAGCGCACGGUGUGGGCGGGGCGGAUUAUGGCAGCUGCUCUGCAGAAGGUGAGUGUGGAGGGGGCUUUGAGAGGAAGGAAGGUCAGAGAGGCCGUUGGAGGGUGGCUCUGUGAGGAGAGACCAUGAGGGUGAGGAAUCAGUGUCAGGGCCCUGGGCAGCACACCAACUCCUGGGAGUUGCUAGUUGCUGCCCAGGAUACCUCCCUGUGGCCAUCUCUUCCCUGCUCAGAGACUGGCGACCAAGAGCAAGACAGAAACUAGUGUCCCUGGCUGCCACCGCAGCAGUGAGGUAAGCCUGGGUAGCUGGAGGAGCCCCGUGCAGGCAGGAAGAAGAGUCCAGAGGCCCUGGGCGGCACCAUCCUCAGUGGAGGGCCUGUGGGUCGGGGCUCAGCUUCCUUCAUGGUCAUUUGAAGGGGGACAGGAUCAGGCAGGCAGCCUGAUCCCAACUGGAGGCUGAACGAGCCCUCCUGUGUGCCUUCUGUGUGGCACCGGAGCCUGGAGCUGUGGCACUAAUGCCUCUCACAUGCCUGUGUCUCGCUGCUCCAGGAAGCCCCCAGCCUGCUUCUCCCUGGCUUGGAGGAAGGAGCACAGGACCAGGAAUUGGGGACCUUGGUGUCCUCCCCAGUUCUCUCACCAACCAGCAGGUCACCUCUGCCAACUGAGCAACCUCUCUGACCUCCUUGGAAGUGACAGUGCCUGCCUUGCUUCUCCAGAUAGGACGGGAAGGACCGGUAGGUGAAAGUGCUGAGCAGAGUAGAGGCCUCUCUAGAUCAGGUCACCGGACACACCCACAGACCCUGAGAAGACCGAGGUGCUGCCCGGAUGGCACAGCCAGAAGCCGAAUGCAAGUGUCUGCAUUGUCCCAUCUCUGUCCUGACAGCCAGGCAGGCGGGGUCUUGAGGAAAUCUUAAAUGUGACUCUUAGUGCAAGCCUUAGAGGCAGUUUGCAGAGGAAGUAGGAAGGUGGAGUUACGGAGCAGGUGUCUGUGAUGUGAUUCCAGUUUUGUAAAACAAAAUUUAAAAACUAGUAUGUGUAUGUGUGAGUGUUUAGCUGGGAAACUGGUCCUACCACAAAGCUCUUUUGGCAGGGACAUAUACCUGGGGGGACUUGGGGGGAAAUUCAUCCUUCUCUCUUUUAUGCAUUGAUGUGCAUUUGAAUAUUGAAAUAAGUAUAUUACCUUGAUUGUUUAUUAAAAAAAAAAAAAAAAACAAGAAAUCAGUGCAAAUGUUUCAGAGGAAUUUUGCCAGAAUCUUCCAUUUGCCAUGUUUCAGGCACCUAACUGUAGUUUUCUCUUCUACAGAAAUGGGUCAAUAGCAUUUGUAAUAGAUGCAUUUUAAAGGCAUUUAUGUAAAAGACAUUGGGGACAUAUGAUUAUGUGGCCCAGGGGUGAGUUAGAAAAUGAUAUCAAUGCUUAUUUUGCUCUAGGCACAUUAUUAAGGUCCUUCCCAUAUCCCUCGUAGGUAGAGUUAUUAUCAUCUCUAUCUUAUAAAGUGAGGAAAGCAAGACUCAGAGAGAUUGAGUAACUUGUCCCAAAUCACACAGGUGAUAAGUGGCAGGUCCUGGAUUUGAACCCAGCUAUUUUUGUCUACCCCUCCCCACCCCCCACCCCUCGCACCAUUCUUUCCAACUCGUGGGAGAGAGUGGAAAUGCUCAAGGAGAAGCCCCAGAGAGGGGUUACAAGACCUGGAAUCUGGACCCUGCUGCUACUUAAAAACCAUGUGACAGAGCAUGACUCAUGGGUUUCAGUUUCCUCUCUGAAAUGGCGAUAAUGCCUUUCUCACCGAUCCCAGUGACAGGAGUAAAGGAACUAGCAUAUUCAGAUACCUGCUUCUUGUCUGGCACUUGGCAUCUGUGAGCUCUUUUCAUCUUUUUCUGUGAAGUUCAAACGGGGUAGAGCGUGUGACAGUCUAGAGUGGGAGCGACAGAGGCUCUGCGCAUUAGAGUGGUUGUGAAUGGUAGUAGGACCUGCUCUCGCCUGGCUCAGUCUCCUUGGAAAGGGAAGUGAAUCUGAUGUUGAAACAUCCGCUCUGCCCACAAGCUAACAGCCUAUUUAACUCUUCUCUGUGGCUCCCCAGCUCCCCGGCUUCCUUUGCAAGUGAAUGUUUUGCUCAGAAAGUUCACUGGAGCCAGGCGUGGUGGCGCACACCUAUAAUUCCAGUGCCUCAGGAGGCUGAGGCAGGAGGAUGCUGAGUUUAAAGCCAGCUUCAGGGGCUGGGGAUAUAGCUCAGUUGGUAGAGGGCUUGCCUAGCAUGCACCAGGCCCUGGGUUCAAUCCCCAGCACCACAUAAGAAAUAUAUCUGCACCUGGGGUGGACUCAGCAACACAUUAUGCACUUAAAAAAAAAUACAAAAUAGAGCUGGGGAUAUGACCCCGUGGUUAAACACCCCUGCGUUCAAUGCCUAGUCCCAUAAGUUUAUUUGAGAAACUUGUGCUGAGCAGCUUCAGUCCCGCCUGUUGCUCUGCCUCCUUGACCCUCACACAACAAUGGCUGAGAAGGAGUGAAAUUUUCCAUGGCCGUGCCCCUUUCCUGGAGGUGACAAUGCCUGGUUGCCAGGGGUUACUGGCACGCCUGCCACCACCAGCCAGCUCGCCUGGGCAUGUCCAGUCUUGAGUUUCUUUCUUGUGCACAUUCUCUACGGACAGGAGGUGGGGCUGGGGUUGGCACCGCAGUGUGUGUGAGUGGAGCCCAGGGCAGGCCGGUGGGUUCUUGGCUGGACAGCUCUGGGCCAGGGACCUGGCAGAGAGAACACAGCCCCUCUGCCGAUGCCUCCUCCCCUAAGAGCUCGGAAGCUGCUGAGAGCUUUAAGGCCCUCUUAGUCUACAAGAAAUUCUAUAUAUACAUAUUUUUUUUGUACCUGGGAUUGAACCCAGAGGGACUUAACCACUGAGCCACAUCCCAGCCCUUUUUGUAUUUUACUUAGAGUCAGGGUCUCGCUGAGUUGCUUAGGGCCUUGCUAAGUUGCUGAGGCUGGCUUUGAACUUGUGAUCCUCCUGCCUCAGGGAGCUGCUGGGAUUACUGCACUUGGCAUGAGCGGCAUUCUAAGGGGAGAGACAGAAUGGUGGAAAUGGGAGCGAAUGUGUAUGUGGUGGGAGGAGGGGGCAGAGGAAAAGAAAACAUCUGGAGAUCUGUAGAGAGAAUAGAAAUAGGAAAACUGCAAGGGCCGUGGACAAAGCUCCCAAACCCUUGGCCCCUUCCCACUGGGGUUCUUAGAGCAAAUGUGCUGGAGUGAUCCCCUGACUCCUCCCUCCCUCCCUCUACCCACCACCCAUUCCCACGUGCAGGGGGGUGGACAGGCAGGGUGUUCAGUGUGGAGCUGGUGCUCCUGGGAGUUUCUGCCGUGUGCCUUGACUUGUGCUGAUGCUUCUGGGCCAUUUAGCGCCUCACAGUCCAUAGGGCACGCAUCUGCCGAGUCCUGCACCAGGAGUUGCCUGGCUUGAGGGGCUUGUGAUGAUGCAUGCACCUGAGCAGGUGGGGCUUCCUGCCGCCAUGACAGCUGGUGCCUGGGCUGCCUUCGAGUCCCAUUCUGCUUUUCCCCUGGGGCUUCUGGGCCCUCGUAGGGUGGGACUUAGCUGUCUCACAAUGUCAGCGUUCCUCUGUGUGCUGACCUGCGCCUUGAGUGAGGAGGCAGGUGGCUGUGGAGCUACGGAGAGCUCUGCCUUUUCUCCCUGUCUGGCUAGAAAACCCCAAAGCUCUUCUUAGCUCAACUCUUCGCAGAGUAGGAGCAGGACCUCGCUGCCCUGGCUGUGUGCUUUGAACCAGUCCCUUAGCGUUUAGGAGCCUCUGUUUCUGUAUCUAUAAAAUGGGGCUUAGGAACUUCUGUCUGACAGGGUCAUUUUGAAAGUUAGAUGAUAUACUGGAUGUGAAAGCACUUGAUAAGUAAACAUAAUUAUACAGUAUUGUUCCAGCAGCCAGUGUGUAGUUCCCCUUCUGGGCCAGGCAGCUGGGGGUGGGGAUUACAAAGGGCUGUUCCUGGGGAGCUCACAGAGGAGAAGGGCGUGUCCACGAUCCCGAGGUAGCCUGAGGAGUGUGGGAGUGACAGUGCCCGCAGCCUUGAGUGGCAGUGUGACUUUUUGCAGGGUCUUGCUCCUGCUCAGCCGUUGUCCAUCUGGAGACCCCUCGGUCUCUCAGGAGCACCAUCUUAUCAUUGGGUUCUCAUUAAAGACGUGCCCGGACUCACCCUGCUUGGGAUCUAGUCUGAAUUUGUUUAUACGGCUCUUCAGGCUCUGCCAGAUUUAGCUCUUGACAGUUCGACCAGUGACCUCAGUACACUGUCUGCUUGAUCCGUGUUGAAUAGCAGGCACCCAGUAGGCGCUUCUCUGGGGAGUGCUAGGGAGCCCAGGACCUUGUGCAUGCCAAGCAAGCAAUCCCCCACCUUGCCACACCCAGCCCCCUCCCAUUAAACACUUUCCGAGAGAGUAAGUGGGAAGGUCCUAUGAAGGAAGCACAGCCAGUGACAGCCCAGGGGCCUGAGGUUAAGAGAAGAAUGGGGGACCCAGGAAGAGGAGCAGUUUGGGUCAGCUCUGUGGAAGGGUGUAGGGGUGUCUACUUGGAGGUAUGGGCAUGUUGGCCCCAGCACAUGGGCAUGGGGGCUGUCUCCAUAUAUUCUGAGAGUGGGGUUAAGGUCUUUGUGCUCUGGACCCAUCACCCCAUGUUCUCUGAAGGUCCUAGUCCCUUGGCUACCAUUUUUCUUUCUAGAUGUCAUGCCCAAGGAAACCCACCAGUACAAGUAUCUCAUGUUAAUGAUAGUCGCUGAUGUUUAGUGAGCACUUACUGUGUUCUAAGUGCCUCUCUGUCUCAUUUGAUCUUACCAAACCCUAUGAGUUAGGCUCUAUUUAUUAUAUCAGGUUUUCAGUUGAAGAAAUGGAAAUUCACACAACUUUUAAGUAAGAGAGUUGGGACUUGAAUCCAGGUGGCUGACUCUGGAACCCUUGUUCUUAACCUCUGUGGCACUGCUGUCCUUAAGGAGCCAGCCACCUCUCACAGUGGGAAGAGACUCGAGGUGUUCCUUGCGUGGGAGGAGACUUGCCUCCGUGGUGUCCUGGGGGACUGACGGGCAGUUUCUAUGUCAUAUUCAAGGGCUGGAAAAGACGGUGGAAUUGUCUAGUUCAUUUUGCGGUGAGGAACAGGGGCCCGGAAUGUUUGCAAGCCUGCUCUGGAUGGUAUGGUUGAUGGCAGCUGAGUGGCCUCGUAUUGUGUCCCGUGCCUGCAGGAGCUGGAUUGUCUUGGGUCCACAGGUUCCUCACCCUGCCCUGUCCUCCAUCGAGGCUGGAGCUGAUAGGACCUUCCACAGCCGUAGCCUCACUCUCCUUCCCUCUCUCCUCCCCCAGAUUGAUAAAUAUCUCUAUACCAUGCGGCUCUCCGAUGAAACUCUGAUAGAUAUCAUGACACGCUUCAGGAAGGAAAUGAAGAAUGGCCUCUCCCGGGAUUUUAAUCCAACAGCCACGGUCAAGAUGUUGCCAACCUUUGUAAGGUCCAUUCCUGAUGGUUCAGGUGAGUCUCUCACCCGGAGAAUUGGCUCUGAGGGCUGAAGGUUCUCUGGAACCGUCCUGCCACCUCUAUGAGUUCAUGCAUUCAUUCAUUCAUUCAUUCACUCAUUCACCUGCCCGUCAUCUGUUCUCCCAUCUGCCCAUCCACUGGUCAAUCCAGCCAUUGAUUGACUGAUUGAUUGGUUGACCCAUCCAUCUGUCUGUCUGUCCUCCUAUGUCUACUGAGCAUUUACCAUGUGCCAGGCACUGGGGUUACCACUUUGGACAAGGCUGACCUUCCCUCAUUGGUCUGUUGGUGUGGUGGCUUGUGAUGCUUUGAAAAUAUCGUGUUUUGGAUUUGGUGGAAAGCUCUGUGGGUUGCUUUUAUGUCUCCAGAAAAACCAAAGGUUUGUUUUAGGAGAAUCUCUCCAUCAGGGCACCAAGCCCACCUCCCUCCCUGUGGAGCCCCAGAAAAGUAGCAGUCCUAGUGGCCAGGUGGGUCUUAGACCCAAGUGGGGAUUCGAGUUUGCCUUUGAACUCGUCCCCUAGAUGCUGAAUCCAGGCAGCCUCAAUGUAGAGAAAUGAAGGAUGCAGAAUUGAAAAACAAAGUUAUCCUCUUAGUCUGCGUCCCUGUGACUCAUGCUGCUGAGGGGUGCCCUGAGGAUUGUCAGUGCCCCUUCCCAGAGGAUGGCAUCAGCCCCUCCCUUGGCUCUGGUCUGCUCUGUGGAUUGUCUGUCCAGCCAAUCCUCAGUGGUUGGUUUGCAGAGGUGGGUUCUGAGCCUUGGCACUUCACAGAAACCCUGUUGGUGCACUAGGCUGGAGUCCACCUGCUGCAUGUCAUGGGGAGGGAGGUCACGAGGAAGUCAGGUUCCUCUGGUGAGUGCACACCUGGGAGUGCGUGACCUUCACGCCCCACUCUUGUUCCUGCUCUGGGGGCUUUUGUUUAAAGCAGCUUGUGUGCAGCCUGCAAAACAGACGCCAGGAAAGCCGCAGGUGUUGCUGUCAUGGGCUGGAGUGGGAGAGUCCUGCUCUGCCGACAGCUGGCCUGUGGAGCUCCCGGGGCAGUGUGGGACAUGGGAGGGGUGCAUGCCGUUUGCUGUGUGGCUGUGGAUGGGCUUUACCUCGUGCACACGCAUUGCCAUUGAUACCUGUGACCUUUCUUUAGCUAUUCAAUAACAGACUGUCCUUUUGUUUACUUGUAGGUAUUGGUUACUAGCAGUUUAGCUUUUUAAGAAGUCCUGAGUGGGUUCUGGUCAGCAGUGUGACCUGAAUCUGGUGUGCCCUGGGUGUGUUCUCAUGCCUGGGUCUAGGGGAGGUAGACCUUCUAGAUUAGUUGCAUGUUUUCCCAGCCCUGGAUGGGAACACAGGAGCCUUCCCAGGACUAAUGGAUUGGCUGAGAGAAGUGGUGGAGGAGGGGAGCGCUGUGGGUCGCCCCAGGGGAGCUCCUGCUUGGGCUUGGCUUGGGAGAUCUCCAAAGGAUACCCGAUCCCGGCAUGCACCUGGUCCUUUGUGAGCAACACAUGGAAAGAGGAGGAGCAAGGUGCCUUCCCACCAGCUUGGCUCCCAGGGUUCUGAGUCAGUAGGGGGCCUUCUCCCUUAUUCUUCCCAUCAACCAUUUCCAGGGUCGAGGGUCUCCAACUGUGCUAGUAAUCUAGCCAUUUGCCCCCUUUGUUGUCCCUCAAAACAAGGCCCAGAACUAAUACUCUUUUGGGAAAUAUAUCUUCUAGUUCCCUCUUAAAGCUUCAUAGUAGAGCCAGCGUGGUGGUGCACGCCUGUAACCCCAGUGGCUGAGAGGAGGCUGAGACAGGAGGAUCAUGAGUUCAAAGCCAGCCUUAGCAACUUAGUAUGGCCCUAAGCAACUUGGUGUCUCUAAACAAAAUACAAAAAAGGGGCUUAGGAUAUGGCCUAGUGGUUAAGUGCCCCUGAGUUCCGUCCCUGGUACCAAAAUAAAAAAAAAAAAAAAGAAAGAAAACAUAGUAGAUAUAACUUACUAAAGGGCCUGAGAGCCCUGCAGGACAGAAUCCUUUAACUUAACAUCUGCUGUCACAGUUCAUCUAUUUUGAAACACUCAUUCUUUUGUUAAGUUUGACUAUCUCUGAAAUCAGGAAUAUUUUGUUUAAUUAUUGCACCUCUAGUUGUUAUUGGCCGCUGUUUUUCUCUGUUAAUGUUACCUCGAAAUAAAGAUGUUUCUCACAAUCAGUGACUUAAAUAUGAUGAGCAUGUGGUUGUCAGCCCAUACUGGGGACACUGUCAGAAGGCUGUGGAAUUGGAGCCCGUGGCCUGGGCCCUUCUUUUGAGCCUCUGUCUCCUCCAGUGCUGAUGGGUGCUGUUUAGGCCUCUCAGGAGCACCGACUAGUAUGGAGAGCGAAAGAAGAGAAGGGGCAACACCAAAACUCUGAACCCGAGGGACCGACCCAAGCCCUGUGUGCACAGCAGGAUGGGUUCCUGGAGCUUGUACUGAGGACGCCAGUCACUGGACUAGGCCCACACCAGUGACCUCUCCUUAAAUUAAUCACAUCUGCAAAGCCUCCAUUUCCACAGGUAGGGACUUGCUAGGACUCCAACAGAGCUUUUAGGGGAACAAUGCAAUUUAAAACAGACCCUAUAGCCUUUCUCCCUGUGACUGCUCCUGAUUUUCAUGGAUGGGCUCAGUUCAUAGGUCCUGGGGCCCACACUCUGCUUGGAAUGGUCCCUGCAGCCACCAAGACAUUGCUACUAAUGCGAAGGUCUCAGAUACCUGACCCCAGUGUGAUCCCUGCCCCUUUGUGAAGGAAGGGGCUUCCCCCACGCUUUGCCCUGGCUCAGGGUUCAUCCUCCAAGAACCAAGAGGUCUCCUGGAGUGAUCAGAGGCAGGUCUCUUUACUCGGAUGCUGUGUGCUGGUCCCUUUUUGAAGCGUUAAUCACUGCUUCCACUGUAGUAAUUAGUCAGCAACAGAAAUAGUGAUAAUCCCAAACCACAGAAGGACAGAUAGAGCUCAUUGGUGGAAAAAUGCUCCAGCCUGUGAGGUGAAGUUGGGAUUUCCAAGGCAAAGGAGGAAACAAACCUUUCCCCUCCCACUGACCUUGACCCUGGUGGAAUGGACUCAGUUUUGGAAUGCUAAGGAUGCUUCAGAAGGAUGUGCGAAAACCUCUGAUAUAUACAUUCUGAUAUGUAUCAGCCCAUUUUCCCGCUUUGGCCAUUAUGGACAAUAAUUUUUUUCUCGGUACACUUUGCCGGUACACUUUGCGACUGUGCCUCAUUCAUGAAACCUCCCUUGUUAUCUUCUCUUACGUUAUCACUAGGUCUAUUGUAGCAAGCUAACUUAGGGUGUAUAAAGUUGGGCAUUUCUUUGUUUCUCGUUUAUGGUUUCUAGCAUGUUCUUUACCAAAGGAGAAGCAAGCAGAUAUUUACUGGAAGUUUUGGGAUGUCCCAUUAUCUUUUUUUUUUUUAUGCAAACUGAAUGAUUUAUAUUGUGGUCAUAGUUAUUUUGGGGCCCUGAAUAUAAAUAGUCCUGUGUUCCAGCCAAAGGAAGAAAAAGUCUUCCCUUUUCUUCCUGUGGUGUUAGGUUGUCUCAGUUUUUCUGCCUGGAAAGAUGGUUGGCGUAUCCCAAAAGGUGCCUCCAUCUGAAAUCUGCACACCUAGUAGUGUUCUGGUGUGGUUUUUUUUUUUUUUUUUUUUGAUACUGGGGAUUGAACUCAGGGGCAUUUACCACUGAGCCACAUCCUCAGCCCUGUUUUGUAUUUUAUUUGGAGAUAGGGUCUCACUUAACACCUCACUUUUGCUGAGGCUGGCUUUGAAUUUGCAAUCCUCCUGUCUCAGCCUCCUGAGCCUCUGGGAUUACAGGCGUGCACCACCGUGCCUGGCUUCUGGUGUUUUUUGGUUUUUUUUUUUUUUUAGUUAUAGAUGGACACAAUACUUUUAUUUUAUUUUAUUUAUUUUUAUGUGGUGCUGAGUAUCCAACCCAGUGCCAUAUACAGGAGAGGCAAGUGCUCUACCACUGAGCCCUAGCCCCAGCCCCUCGGGGGGGUUUUGAUGAAGGUGUGGAACUCUUGCCAGGGGCUGGAUUGCAGUAGCAGGGAAUGCCGCUGGAGCUCGUUGGCAGCGCAGGGCAAAGGUAGGCACUUCAUGAAGGUAGAUUUCUGUUUACCCAGUAUUCCAGUGCAGGCCCGCACUCGAGAGACAUCUGUCCCUGUGUUUGUUUUUCAUUAUUUGCUGGUAAUAAUGGCUAUCGUUAGAAAGGAGAGAGUUGCCAGGGCCCUUCAGAAUGUUUUGUUUAAUGAGCCUUCUCUUGAAGAACUGUUGUCCUGGCUCAGUGGGAAUGGGAAAUGUGGGGAGAAGCUGCAGACAGGAGGCCCCAGGAGCCAGGAAGGCGUUUUUGAGACCCCAGAUUUGAAGAGGAAGUUGGAGGAAUGUCCACUGCUACAGAAAGAGGUUUAACUUGUCGUUAAAGGGGAAGAAGUAAAUAUAACAGAAAUAUAAAAUGCUGGAUCAGUCUCUGGCGCUUCCACUCGCUGUCUGUCUGUCUGAUCUUGGGGAAGCCACUUCCCUUCUCUGAGUCUCCAUUUCCUUAUCUGUAAAAUGGGCCUGAGGGCUCCUGCUGUCUCAUGACCAAGUGAAAAUGCUUUGGAAACUGUCAUGUACUGUGAGAAUUAUAGGGGGUCUCAUCAUCAAUGUGGCUUAUAACUGGCUUUGUAAGAAUUCCUGGGGGGCCUUUCCUGAUCAGUGUGGAUAGUCAAGAACCCCUCUCCUUGGUCCUAGGUGUGUGAGCCAGUCCCUGGAGGAAGGGUGCAGGAUUUUUAGCAGCUCACUGGCCUCUCUGUGAUGUUAUGGGAGAAGCCUAUCUUACCUGCACCCGAGCACCCGACCUCUGAGCUAGCCACAGGAAGUGGGGUGAGCUUCCAGGCUGCAGUGUUGGUUCCUCUGUAAUGGGGUGACUGUCCCCCUUGGCUGUGAAUUGGGAUCCAACCUGAAAUAAAAGGGAUGAUAUGUUCCCUUUGUUAUAGAGGGAAAGUGGGUAUUUGGGGAGAACACCUUCCCUAAAAAAGGAAUAUUGGACUCGAGAGCCUUCUGGUUGUUGCUGAAAGAAUUUAAAUCAGUUUAGGCAAAAAUGGGAAAAUUCUAGGUUGGAGAAGUCUAGUGUCUGAUGGCUUCUGGGUCCGGGAGCUCCCGUGUCUCUCCCUCUGGCAGCCCCUGUCCUUGUAUCGACUUUACUCCUGAUACCUUCCCCUGACAGUGGCAGAGGUGAUCCCUGAAACCCUAGGCUGAUAUCUCUCUCUCUCUCUCUUUUUAAAAAUUUUUAAAGAUGGACACAAUACCUUUAAUUAAUUAAUUAAUGUAUGUAUGUAUGUGGUGCUGAGAUUCUAUCCCAGUGCCUCACACAUGCUCGGCAAGUGCUCUGCCACUGAGCCACAGCCCAGCCCUGGGCUGACACCUCUUAUACCCUAGCUAGUGAUUCUAGCCAGAGAGCUUCCCUAGCACCCCUGAUGGCUCCAAAUGCCCCUGGGUGACUCUUGAUGCCCUUGGUUUACAUGCUGGUCCUCUUGCAGCCGCAGCAGGUGAUUAGCCCCACCCCCAACCCCAGGAAGCGGCUAGAUAUUCAACCAAGUUUACCAAAAAUCUUGUGGACCUUUCCAAGGUCAUUCUUUGUGUCCUCUAGGAGCCAGCCGUCCACCUGCUGAUUGCCUUCUUUUUGUGGGGCUGGGUACUCAGGAAAGGAAGGCUAGAGGUCACAUUGCCUUUCCCUCCAAGUUGCUUCUCAUCUAACUGAGGAAGAUAAGGCAGACACAUAAAAAAUAAUAAGCAUCGCGCAGGCCUGGCCAUAAACGAGGCAUUGAGCCUGUUUGGUUGGAGUUUCCUUAUCCAUAAAACCCGGGAGGUGAGUUAAUAUUUGUCCAGUGUUUCCUAAGCUAUAAAAGUGACUUUCAGAAGAGCUGCAGCCACCCUUCUUUAGCAAUCACAGAGCGUGUCUCAACUGGGGACACUGCUCAGGGAGGGGUCAGAAGCUGAGAGAGACCCCUCCUGACUGCCUUCCGAGGCUGUGUACCAAGGCCCCUCUGAAGCCCGUCUCGCCGCCUGCUAGUGUGUGAAGCAUCUGGUUUGUAGCUUUGUCCUGGCAUCUUAUAGCCACCCUUUCUGCUCUGUCCCUAACUCCCUGGGACCCCGCUGACCUGGGCUUGUUUAGAAAGGCUGAGCAGACCAUAGACAUGUGGGCCAGCCCCAUGUACCUGCCUUGCCUGGGCUCCUCCCUGGUCUCCAGCCAGCUGAGCUCAGUUUUUACUUAUUCUGCUUUAGGCCUGGGAAUCUCUAGAGGUUCCUGGAGGAGAAGCUGAAAACUCUUAGCUGCUGUGUCACCCUGGGCACUGAUGAAUCAGCAGGACUUUCCAGCCCCAGCACCUGGACCUUGAGUGACAGGAAGCCUGCUUUGUCUAAUUUAUCCGAAAAUGAGAGCAGGCUGGUGACUGAGGCUUCCCAUGCUAUUUUGAAGUUCUGAUGAGGCUGGGGAUGCGCUCAGUGGUGGAGCGCUGGCCUAACCUGUGCAGGGCCUUGGGUUCCUUUAAAAAAAUUGAGGUUAUGAUGAAAAGCCAGUGUAAAACAUGAAACAGAACUUACUUAAAUAAACAUUCAAUGGUGAAGGAGUUAAUUAAAUAAAAAUGUUAAAAUGAAAAGGUCCCAUAAUGCCAUCCUGGCAGAGGAUUCACUUUGGUGAAUUCCCUGAGCCUCAGUGGUUUCUGGUUGUUUACCCGAUUGAGCUUUUUCAUUAUCUUCAUUAAAGAGCAAAGCCAAACCAAAUGAAAAGCCUCAAGGAAUUGUGGCUGUUGAGGAGCCCCAGAAAAGAAUCAUAACCAUUAUUGUUAUGCAGAAAUCUCACUCUGGUCCUGUGCUUGGGGAUCUUUGUCCUUGCGAUCUAUUGAGGAAGCAGAAUUCGUGGUUAUGAAUUUGGGCUUUAUUCACAUGCUGACAUUGCCACUCACUGGUUGUGUGCUUGGGCAAGUUACCUAAUCCCUCCCUGCCUUUCCUUGCUUAUCUGUAGAAUGGGCAUCAUUCUCCCAUUCAUUAGGCUGGGAGGAUGAAAAUAAAAUGAUGCAUAUAAACUAGUUAGUGAUUGGUAGAGAAAGGCCCCCAAAGUGAAAACUGAUGGUAAAAUAAAGUGUUUUGCAUGUGGUGGCGCGUGCCUGUAAUCCCAGUGGCUCCGGAGGCUGAGGUAGGAGGAUCGAGAGUUCAAAGCCAGCCUCAACAACAACAACAACAACAACAAAAAAAAACCAAGGCACUAAGCAACUCAGUGACACCCUGUCUGUAAAUGAAAUACAGAAUAUGACUGGGGAUGUGGCUUGGUGGUUGAGUGUCCCUGAGUUCAAUCCCCGGUUUGGGAGGUAACUGAGGAUUGAACUCAAGGGCACUCAACCACAUCCCCACAUCCCCCGCCACCAUGUCGACAGAUGAAGAGUUUUUUUAUAUUCUAGUGACUCACCUGCUUGAUAGGAGCCACUUUGUACUGAAUUCAGGUUUUUAACCUGAUGGUGUUAUAAGGUCCAUGAGGUUAGGAUUCUAAUGGGAAACCUAGGAAAAACCUUAAACUGAUUUGAAUAAUUGGGGAUUUGGAGUUUACACUGGGGGUGUGGCUCAGUUGUUAAAACAUUCCUUGGUUCAACCCCCAGUACUGCAAACCAAACCAAAAGAAACCCUGUCAUGUUAAAGCCAGACGGAGGAUCACAUAUUAUAUGAUCCCAUUUAUCCGAGACGUCAGAAUAGGGAACUUUAUUAGUGCUUGCUGCGGGACGGGGAGUGACUGCUAACGAACACAGGGCUUCUUUUGCAAUGAUGAAAAUUUUCUAAACUUUGUAGUGAUGGUUGCAUACCUUUGUAAAUAUACUGAAAAUCACUACAUUUUAAAAUGGAUGAAUUGUUUGAUACAGGAAUUAUAUUUGAAUAAAGCUGUUUUUUAAAAACCAACCAAUGGCAUAACUGCUUCUUGCUUCAUGAAUCACAAGCCAGAUGUGCCUUUGAUGAGGAACAGGCCACUGAUCCCUGUGGUCAGGCAGCUAGCAGAGUGUCCUGGGGGCUGGGCGCGGUGAUGCACGCCUGUCAUCCCAGUGGCUUAACAGGCUAAGGCAGGAGGAUCACAAGUUCAAAGCCAGCCUCAACAACUUAGCAGGCCCUAAACAACUCAGGGAAACCCUGUCUCUAAAUAAAAUAUAAAAAAGGGCUGGAGAUGUGGCUCAGUAGUUAAGCGCCGCCAGGUUCAAUCCCCAGUACAAAAGAAAGAAAAAAAAAAAGCAAGCUGUUCGGGUGCCAAGGGCAAAUGCUGAGAAUUCUUAGUUACAGUCCUUCCCCGUGGAACUUGAGAGGGAGCCGUGAAAUUAGUGCAGGAGUCCUUCAUCCCUUCACACCUUCAUUGUUGAGCUUUUACUAUGUCAGAGCUCACAGCUUAGGUCAAAUACAGAGUAUGUCAGCGGGAUAAAAGAGAAUACUUUUUUUUUUUAACAAAAAGCAACCGUUACUUACCAAAAAAAAAAAAAAAAGCCCAAGGAACCCGGGAUAUCCAAAAACAAUCUCAAAAAUGAACAAAGUUGGAGAAUUUUCACUUCUAAUUUCAAAAUUUACUACAAACAACAGUAAUCAGAAGUGAGGGGCACUGGUAGGGGGCAGACAUAGCGAUGGAUGGGACCAAAAUGAGAGUGCAGAGCCCAACUCCAGCCUUUACCAUCAAUCGUUUUUUGGCAAGGGUGCCCAGACUAUUCAAUGAGGGAAACAACACAUGGCAUCGAGACACUGAAUGUCCACAAACAAAAGAGCCAGGUUGGACCCUAACUCACACUAUAUACAAAAGAUUAACUCAGAAUGGAUUAAAGGCCUAAAUGAAAGCUGAAACUAUAACACUCUUAAAAGGAAAUACAGGUAUGGAUUUUUGUGACCUUGGAUUUGACCAUGGAGUUAGAUACAGACCCCAAGGGCAUGAACAACAAAAUAAAAAGUGAAUAAAUUGUACUUUAUCAAAAUUAAAAACUUAGUGCAUUAAGAUGCUAUCAAGAGGGGCUGGGGUGGUGGCUCAGUGGUAGAACACUUGCCUAGCAGGCAUGAGGCACUGGGUUUAUCCUCAGCACCACAUAUAAAUAAAUAAAAUAUUAAUAUUAAAAUAUUAAAAAUAUAUUAAUAUUAAUUUUUUUUUUAAAAAAAGAUGCUCUCAAGAGCCGGAUUUGGUGGCACACACCUGUAAUCCCAGUGACUUGGGAGGCUAAGGCAAGAGGAUCCUGAGUUCAAAACCAGUCUCAGCAACUUAUUGAGGCCCUGAGACCCUGUUCCAAGAAAAGGGAUGGGGGAUGGGGAUGUGACUCAGUACUUAAGCACUCCUGGGUUCAAUUCCUGGUACUGGGGGAAAAAAUGCUGUCAAGAAAGUGAGAAAACAAUCUACAGAAGGGGAGAGAACAUUUUCAGGUCAUAACUAGAAUAUUUAAAGAACUCACAGCUCAACGUUAAACAGACAAUGCAAUUGUGAAAACAGGCAAAGGGGAAAAUAAAUAAAUAAAAAUGGAUAAAAGAUCUGAACAGAUACAUCUUUAAAGAUAUACCAAUGGCCAAUAAGCAUGUGAAGAGGUGCUUAAUAUCCUUAGUCAUCUGAGAAAUGUAAAACAAACAAACAAAAAACAAAGUCACGAGUGUUGCUGAAGAUGUAGAGAAAUUGGAAAUGUCUUACAUCACAGAUGGGAAUGAAAAUGCAGCUGCUUUUGAAAACAGUGACCAUUUCUCAAAAAGGUAAACAUGAUCUGUCAUUUGACACAGCAAUUCUGCAGUGACUACGUGUGUUCACACAAAACUCAUGUACACCAGUGUUCAUAGCAGCUUUAUUCAUGAGAGGCAAAAGGUGUAAGGUGCCCCGUGUCCCUCAGUGGAUGAAUGGAUAAAUAACAUGUGCUACAUCCAGACAGCGGGGCAUUAUUUGACCCCAAAAGGGAAUGAAAUACGAAUACAUACAGCAACAAGAUGAGCUUCAAAAACAUUUUGCUCUUAGUGAAACCCUGUCUCAAAAUUAAAAAAACAAGAAACAAAAAACAUGGAAAAGGCGGGGCUGGGGAUGUGGCUCAGUGACUAAGUGCCCCUGGGUUCAAUCCCUGGUACCAACAAAACAAAACACGCGCUCCCCCCGCGCCCCCCCCCCCCACACCCCUGAGGUCCAGAAAACCAACCACCCAAACAUUUUACUAAGGGAAAACACCAGUCAUGAAAGGCCACAUACUCUAUGAUUCUGUCCAUGUGAAAUGUCCACAGUAGGAAAGCCUGUGGAGUCAGAAAGCAGAUUGGUGGGAGAUGAGGACAUUUGGAAGUGAUAAAGGGUACUGAGUUUCUUUUUGAGUUGAAGAAAAUGCUCCUAAAACAUUGUGGUGAUGGUUGCAUGACUCUGAAACUACUAAAAGCCACUGAAUUGUACACUGUAAGUGUGUGAAUUAUGUGGCCUGGGAAUUACAUUUUAAUGAUGCUGUUAUAUAAAAUAUGAUAAUAAUGGCCCUUCUCUGGGUAAGUGAGAUGCUUCAAAGCAGUCUGGUAUUGACUGUCAUGGGACUGAGGCUCUUUUUUGUUUGUGUGAGUGUGUGUGUGUGUGUGUGUGAGUGUGUGUGUGUGUGUGUGGUAUUGCUGGGGAUCCAUCAAACCCAGGGCCUCCUACAUGCUGGGCAAUUGCUGUACCACUGCGCCACACCCCAGCCCUGAUUUUUAGAGUUUUAUAGUCAAAGAAUGACAAGUCUAUGAAGGGGUGACAGAGCCAGUAGGUGUUUGGUCUUGGGAUGGGAGACUUAAAAUCUGGGGAUGUUGCUAAGCAGAGGCAUUCAAGCUGGACACGGUAGUGCACGCCUGUAUUCCCAGCAGCUCAGGAGGCUGUGGUGGGAGGAUCAAAAGUUCAAAGCCAGCUUCAGCAACUUAGCGGGGCCCUAGGCAAUUUAGAGAGACCCUGUCUCUAAACACAAUAUAAAAAAGGGCUUGGGAUGUGACUCAGUGGUUAAGCGCCCCGGGUUCAAUCCCCAAUACCAAAAAGAAAAGAAAAAAACCAAGACAUACAUGUGGGUGGGGGGUUGAGGCAGAAGCCAGUGGACAAUGGGCAGCUUCAGUUUGUUUGGUUGGAAACCCUGAGGCCCAUCUCUGGUGAUGAAGGCUGUUUGGGGGCCUCAGUAGAGGAAGGACAUUCACCCCUACUCCACCCUGAGAUCUUUAUGGCUUGCUUCGUGUAGAAGACAGAGAGAUGACCCUUUCCGAAGUGUUAGGUCCCUGAGUGAUUCUCGCCCACGGUGAUGCUGACAGGGCCUGUUUCUGUGUGGAUCCAGGGUUUCCGUGGGGAAGUCAGUGGCAGUCCUGGUGUUCAAGUCAGUUGUCUGACCUGGGUAUGGGGAGGCCAGAGCGGCUGGAUGUACCUUGAAGACGUUACACCAAGUGGAAGAAGCCAGUCACAAAAAGACAAAUAGUGUGUGAUUCCCCUUAGAGGAAACGUCCAGAAUAAGCAAAUUUUAGAGAGAGCAGCAGAGAGAUUACCAAAGACAGGGGAUGGGGGGCGGGCAGCCAAUAGGGAGUUGUCGCCUCAUGGUAAUAGAGUUUUGGUUCAGUGAUGAGAAUGGUUUGGAAAUAGUGGUCGUUGAUUAAUAUCAUGAAUGUACUUAGUAGCUCCAAACUGUAGACUUGAGAGGGGUCACAUUGUUACCAGUUUUGUGUACAUUUUACCACAGCCAUGAAAAAACCGCCCCGUGCAGUGAUCCCUCUGACCACCAUGGGAGGAAUCCGUGGCGCGGGAUGGACCUCAGGUGUAGGGUUUUCUCUGCAUUGAAAUGCCGUGUGAGUCUCACUUGUGGAUCGCAGGGCUGUUUUUAGAAUCAGAGAAGAUGUUAGAGAAGAAGGGAUGAACCUUGUCCUAAUUCAGUACUUCAUUCCCUGUGGUCAGUGCUCCAAGCCCUUUCUGGCUGAGGAGCUGGACUGGGAGAGGGCUUCUGUCACUCUGCUCCGUAGGCAGGUCGGAUGGGCUCAGCAGGAUUCCUGCUUCCUCCUGAAAGCACUGGGCAUUGGCAUUCGGGGGAGGCAGACAGGGCCGGGGCCAGGAAGGGGGCAUGACAUGUGGCCUUCUGAUGCUCAGAUCUGAUGAGACCCUUGUUUUCUCCCUCAACAGAAAAAGGAGAUUUCAUCGCCCUGGAUCUUGGUGGGUCUUCCUUUCGAAUUCUGCGGGUGCAAGUGAAUCAUGAGAAAAAACAGAACGUUCACAUGGAGUCCGAGGCUUAUGACACCCCGGAGAGCAUCGUGCACGGCAGUGGAAGCCAGGUGAGUCCCCGAUAUCUUAGGUCAGCCCCCCUGGGCCAGCAUACCCUGGGGCACCUCCAGGUACCAGACUUCCAAGCACAGGUGUCCCGAGCCUUUGAUGGGGGUCUCUGGAAGGAGUCCAUGGUGGUGUAUGUGGUAAGGACUCCUGGGUGAGGGAAGUGGCAGCCAGCAUGGGCUGGACUUUGCUGCGAGAAACAUCCACUAACUGGGCGAACUGAGGUCGAGGGGGGUGCUCAGACUUCACAGGGUGGAGGGUGUCACAGGGAGUCCCCGCAGCUCUGUGGGGUAUGUGCUCUCAUCCUGGUGGGUUCCCCAGCAGUGUUAGCAAGCCCUUGGCUGGAAACGCUCCUUCUUCCAGGUCAUUGACCUCCUCCCCUUCUCAUCAAAGUCUAGACCCUGUGCUAGGCUGUGGCAGUGACCUUGUUGGGCAGGAAUAGAGUUCACAGCGCAGGGGACUGAAGGGUCCUCAUUCCUGGUUGAGUAGCAUUGUGUACAACCUUGGCAUGGCAAAGAAAGAGGCAGGGCUUGCUUUGGAAUUCACGGUCCCCUCCUCUGACGCUUGUACCUUAGGCCCACUUCCUCCUGGACCCCGGGCAGGCUGCUUCCUGUGGCUGAGGGCCAUUGGCAUGUCCAAGAAGGGUCGCCACCCUCUCCCCACCCUGCCCCAUCUAGUUGCUGUGAGUAAUGGGUCCCUGGCUCUCCAGAGCCCGGUGACCAGGGUUCAAGAACUCCUCUGGGGUUUGCAGGCAUCUCUGGGUCUGCUGAGCCCGCCCCGUGGGGCGCUCUGCUGCUCCCCCAUGGUCGUUCUGCUCUCUGGGCGGUGCCUCCUCCUGGUCGGGGCUGUGGUGUGUUCACAGGAAGGUCAUGACUAAGUUCUCCAGAGAAUCCAUUGGUUCUGGAUGGGCUUGGAGAUGAGACCCAGGAACCUUCUCCUCGGGACUCCACUUUAUUCCUAAGUUAGUGUGGGUGGGACCUGGAACCAGCCACCCAGCCUUUCUUUGUCCAGGAAACAAGGGCUCAUCCCGGCCUCUAACUUGCUCCCAGGGUUGGGGUUCAGAGCUUCUCAGGCCCCAUCACAGUGGGCAUUGAAGGGGACACUAUCACCAGAGCCCCUAUGGCCAGCCGCUGACCCCUGCCUAAAGGUUCCCCACGGCCCCUCCUGUACUGGACCCUUCAUCCGGGAGUGCAGGUGGCUGCUUGUCCAUUAGCCUCUGCACCGCUCCUCUUCUGGGUGGCCCUUGGCUACAGGCACUGGCCUGUCACCCUUUGUUCCUAAGACUCUUGGCUUGAACCACCUAAGCCUGGUGCCCCCACCAUUGAGCCAUCACUCUGCAGACAUUCCCGUGGGUUUUGGCCUGACCUCUCAGGAGCAGGGUUUGUUCAUUCAGGGGUCCCACACAUUCACUCCCACUUUUUUGUGUGUGGGGGUACCAGGGAUUGAACUCAGGGUCACUCGGCCAGUGAACCACAACCCCAGCCCUAUUUUGUAUUUUGUUUAGAGACAGGCUCUCACUGAGUUGCUUGGUGCCUUGCUUUUGCAAAGGCUGGCUUUGAACUCGCAAUCCUCCUGCCUCAACCUCUGGAGCCUCGGGGAUUACAGGCCUGCGUCCCCCACCCCACCCCGGGCUAGUAACUUCCUUCUUUACCGUUGUCUCCCUCUUCCAGUCUCUGUCCCCAACUUCCCUCUUAGUUGCAGGAUAACUUUGUUUCCUGCCGUCUCUAUUUCUUCCUUUGCCUCUCUGAUGAUGGAAUAAUUUUGUAUCAUUACAACAGAUACUUAAUAGUGCUCGUUAUGGGCAAGUCCCUGAUACAAGCACUUGAUAUGUAUUAACUCAUUUAAUCAUUUCAAUAGCCUCAUGAGGCAGNGCUGGGGAUCCAUCAAACCCAGGGCCUCCUACAUGCUGGGCAAUUGCUGUACCACUGCGCCACACCCCAGCCCUGAUUUUUAGAGUUUUAUAGUCAAAGAAUGACAAGUCUAUGAAGGGGUGACAGAGCCAGUAGGUGUUUGGUCUUGGGAUGGGAGACUUAAAAUCUGGGGAUGUUGCUAAGCAGAGGCAUUCAAGCUGGACACGGUAGUGCACGCCUGUAUUCCCAGCAGCUCAGGAGGCUGUGGUGGGAGGAUCAAAAGUUCAAAGCCAGCUUCAGCAACUUAGCGGGGCCCUAGGCAAUUUAGAGAGACCCUGUCUCUAAACACAAUAUAAAAAAGGGCUUGGGAUGUGACUCAGUGGUUAAGCGCCCCGGGUUCAAUCCCCAAUACCAAAAAGAAAAGAAAAAAACCAAGACAUACAUGUGGGUGGGGGGUUGAGGCAGAAGCCAGUGGACAAUGGGCAGCUUCAGUUUGUUUGGUUGGAAACCCUGAGGCCCAUCUCUGGUGAUGAAGGCUGUUUGGGGGCCUCAGUAGAGGAAGGACAUUCACCCCUACUCCACCCUGAGAUCUUUAUGGCUUGCUUCGUGUAGAAGACAGAGAGAUGACCCUUUCCGAAGUGUUAGGUCCCUGAGUGAUUCUCGCCCACGGUGAUGCUGACAGGGCCUGUUUCUGUGUGGAUCCAGGGUUUCCGUGGGGAAGUCAGUGGCAGUCCUGGUGUUCAAGUCAGUUGUCUGACCUGGGUAUGGGGAGGCCAGAGCGGCUGGAUGCACCUUGAAGACGUUACACCAAGUGGAAGAAGCCAGUCACAAAAAGACAAAUAGUGUGUGAUUCCCCUUAGAGGAAACGUCCAGAAUAAGCAAAUUUUAGAGAGAGCAGCAGAGAGAUUACCAAAGACAGGGGAUGGGGGGCGGGCAGCCAAUAGGGAGUUGUCGCCUCAUGGUAAUAGAGUUUUGGUUCAGUGAUGAGAAUGGUUUGGAAAUAGUGGUCGUUGAUUAAUAUCAUGAAUGUACUUAGUAGCUCCAAACUGUAGACUUGAGAGGGGUCACAUUGUUACCAGUUUUGUGUACAUUUUACCACAGCCAUGAAAAAACCGCCCCGUGCAGUGAUCCCUCUGACCACCAUGGGAGGAAUCCGUGGCGCGGGAUGGACCUCAGGUGUAGGGUUUUCUCUGCAUUGAAAUGCCAUGUGAGUCUCACUUGUGGAUCGCAGGGCUGUUUUUAGAAUCAGAGAAGAUGUUAGAGAAGAAGGGAUGAACCUUGUCCUAAUUCAGUACUUCAUUCCCUGUGGUCAGUGCUCCAAGCCCUUUCUGGCUGAGGAGCUGGACUGGGAGAGGGCUUCUGUCACUCUGCUCCGUAGGCAGGUCGGAUGGGCUCAGCAGGAUUCCUGCUUCCUCCUGAAAGCACUGGGCAUUGGCAUUCGGGGGAGGCAGACAGGGCCGGGGCCAGGAAGGGGGCAUGACAUGUGGCCUUCUGAUGCUCAGAUCUGAUGAGACCCUUGUUUUCUCCCUCAACAGAAAAAGGAGAUUUCAUCGCCCUGGAUCUUGGUGGGUCUUCCUUUCGAAUUCUGCGGGUGCAAGUGAAUCAUGAGAAAAAACAGAACGUUCACAUGGAGUCCGAGGCUUAUGACACCCCGGAGAGCAUCGUGCACGGCAGUGGAAGCCAGGUGAGUCCCCGAUAUCUUAGGUCAGCCCCCCUGGGCCAGCAUACCCUGGGGCACCUCCAGGUACCAGACUUCCAAGCACAGGUGUCCCGAGCCUUUGAUGGGGGUCUCUGGAAGGAGUCCAUGGUGGUGUAUGUGGUAAGGACUCCUGGGUGAGGGAAGUGGCAGCCAGCAUGGGCUGGACUUUGCUGCGAGAAACAUCCACUAACUGGGCGAACUGAGGUCGAGGGGGGGUGCUCAGACUUCACAGGGUGGAGGGUGUCACAGGGAGUCCCCGCAGCUCUGUGGGGUAUGUGCUCUCAUCCUGGUGGGUUCCCCAGCAGUGUUAGCAAGCCCUUGGCUGGAAACGCUCCUUCUUCCAGGUCAUUGACCUCCUCCCCUUCUCAUCAAAGUCUAGACCCUGUGCUAGGCUGUGGCAGUGACCUUGUUGGGCAGGAAUAGAGUUCACAGCGCAGGGGACUGAAGGGUCCUCAUUCCUGGUUGAGUAGCAUUGUGUACAACCUUGGCAUGGCAAAGAAAGAGGCAGGGCUUGCUUUGGAAUUCACGGUCCCCUCCUCUGACGCUUGUACCUUAGGCCCACUUCCUCCUGGACCCCGGGCAGGCUGCUUCCUGUGGCUGAGGGCCAUUGGCAUGUCCAAGAAGGGUCGCCACCCUCUCCCCACCCUGCCCCAUCUAGUUGCUGUGAGUAAUGGGUCCCUGGCUCUCCAGAGCCCGGUGACCAGGGUUCAAGAACUCCUCUGGGGUUUGCAGGCAUCUCUGGGUCUGCUGAGCCCGCCCCGUGGGGCGCUCUGCUGCUCCCCCAUGGUCGUUCUGCUCUCUGGGCGGUGCCUCCUCCUGGUCGGGGCUGUGGUGUGUUCACAGGAAGGUCAUGACUAAGUUCUCCAGAGAAUCCAUUGGUUCUGGAUGGGCUUGGAGAUGAGACCCAGGAACCUUCUCCUCGGGACUCCACUUUAUUCCUAAGUUAGUGUGGGUGGGACCUGGAACCAGCCACCCAGCCUUUCUUUGUCCAGGAAACAAGGGCUCAUCCCGGCCUCUAACUUGCUCCCAGGGUUGGGGUUCAGAGCUUCUCAGGCCCCAUCACAGUGGGCAUUGAAGGGGACACUAUCACCAGAGCCCCUAUGGCCAGCCGCUGACCCCUGCCUAAAGGUUCCCCACGGCCCCUCCUGUACUGGACCCUUCAUCCGGGAGUGCAGGUGGCUGCUUGUCCAUUAGCCUCUGCACCGCUCCUCUUCUGGGUGGCCCUUGGCUACAGGCACUGGCCUGUCACCCUUUGUUCCUAAGACUCUUGGCUUGAACCACCUAAGCCUGGUGCCCCCACCAUUGAGCCAUCACUCUGCAGACAUUCCCGUGGGUUUUGGCCUGACCUCUCAGGAGCAGGGUUUGUUCAUUCAGGGGUCCCACACAUUCACUCCCACUUUUUUGUGUGUGGGGGUACCAGGGAUUGAACUCAGGGUCACUCGGCCAGUGAACCACAACCCCAGCCCUAUUUUGUAUUUUGUUUAGAGACAGGCUCUCACUGAGUUGCUUGGUGCCUUGCUUUUGCAAAGGCUGGCUUUGAACUCGCAAUCCUCCUGCCUCAACCUCUGGAGCCUCGGGGAUUACAGGCCUGCGUCCCCCACCCCACCCCGGGCUAGUAACUUCCUUCUUUACCGUUGUCUCCCUCUUCCAGUCUCUGUCCCCAACUUCCCUCUUAGUUGCAGGAUAACUUUGUUUCCUGCCGUCUCUAUUUCUUCCUUUGCCUCUCUGAUGAUGGAAUAAUUUUGUAUCAUUACAACAGAUACUUAAUAGUGCUCGUUAUGGGCAAGUCCCUGAUACAAGCACUUGAUAUGUAUUAACUCAUUUAAUCAUUUCAAUAGCCUCAUGAGGCAGGUAUUGUUAUCAUUCCCAUUUUACAGAUGGGAAAUAGAGACUUAGCUGUUUAUAACUAGCCACUGGGAUCUGAACUUGGGUGGUUUGAUUUCCAGAAGUUACAGUAGCAGCAACUUGGAGCUCCUAGGCAGGACUUUGUCUUUUAUCUUUGUUUAUUUAUUUACUUAAAAAAUAUUUUUUUGAUACCAGGGAUUGAACUCAGGAACAUUCGACCACUGAGCCCCAUCCCCAGCCCUAUUUUGUAUUUUAUUAAGAGACAGGGUUUCACUGACUUGCUUAGUACCUCGCUUUUGCUGAACUUGUAAUCUUCCUGCCUCAGCCUCCUGAGCCGCUGGGAUUACUUACAAGCAUGCACCACCACGCCUGGCUAUUUUGAGCGUUUUUAAAUUGAUUUUUAAAUAUUUUAUUUGAAAUGUUAUUAAACUUCCAGAGAAGUUCUCAGACAAGCACAAGGAGCUCCUUUGGACCCUGUUCAUCCGGAUCCUCCAGUUGUCAGUUUUUCCUUUUAUCCUUGUCUCCCCGCAAACACAAACACACUGAGUCUAAAAGCCUUAGUGUAAUUUUAAGCUUUAACAACUUCAUAAGCACAAAUUCAACAUUUUUUUUAAGAGAGAGAGUAUUUUUUAAUAUUUAUUUUUUAGUUUUCGGCAGACACAACAUCUUUGUUUGUAUGUCGUGCUGAGGAUCGAACCCGGGCCGCACGCAUGCCAGGCGAGUGUGCUACCGCUUGAGCCACAUCCCCAGCCCCCCCCAAAUUCAACAUUCUUAAAACAUGACUUAGGGCCGGGUAUGGUAGCUGUGAUCCUAGAGAUUGGGAGGCUGAGGCAGGAGGAUUGCAGGUUUGAGGCCAGCUUCAACAACUUAGCAAGGCUCUGCCAGGCACUAUGGUGCACUCCUGUAAUCCCAGUGGCUCUGAAGGCUGAGGCAGGAGGAUGGUGAGUCCAAAGCCAGCCUCAGCAACGGCGAGGCACUAAGCAAUUCAUUGAGACCCUGUCUCUAAAUAAAAUACAAAACAGGGCUGGGAAUAUGGCUCAGUGGUCGAGUGUCCCUGGGUUCAAUCCCUGAUACCACUUCACCCCCCAUAAAAGCAAGGCCCUAAGCAAUUUAGCAAGACCCUGUCCCAAAAUAAAAAAAUAAAAAGAGCUGUGGAUGUCACUCAGUGGUUAAGUGCCUCUGGGUUCAACCCCCAGUGCACAGUACCAAAAAAAUAAAUAAACAGUUUGGGGGAAUUUUGGAUAAUAAAUAUGAAUUUUUUUGUUGUAGCCAGUUUGCCAUCUUAAGUCAGAAAGACUGAGUCUCUGAGUCUCUGUGUGCAUUUUGAGAAUAAUAAGCAUUUUGUCAGGAAAGAAAAAGACGAAAGCUUCUUAGGUGCUAAAAUGUCGUGUGCCGAGGGGGGACCUCCCUGCUCCUGGUUGAUGGCAGGCUCUGGGCAGCCCUGGGCUGGCUUCCUGCCUCCUUGAGCAAGCUCGUGGCCCUGGAUUGUGGAAAUUCCACAGAAAUGGCCUUUUCUUCUCAGUAGAGCUCUCUGGGGAUUGGCUUUGGCUUGGAUCCCAGAGCUGGGGACGGACCCGGCCAUGUGAGCCCAUUUCAGGGUCCGCGGGCUUGCGGCUCCCGCCCCUUCCCAGGCAGCCCCUGUCCCCUCCUGCUGCCCAGCUUGCAGCAGGGGAGUCCGGAGGCGCGUCUGAGUGCAGAUGGCUUGGGGACACGAGGACUGACUUAGUGAUGGGUUUAUAUCAGUCUGAAAUAUAGGUCACCGGAAGCUUAGCCCUGGUUCUUCAGGGAGGGCGGUCAUGUGUCCCUUCAGAGAUGCUGGCUGCAGCCUGAAAAAUAGUGGCUUGGGAUGGCGGCUCCUAAAUCAUGAUGGAUUGGGUUCCUCUUACCCCGAGCUUCGGCCACAAGCCGCGCAGAUGAGACCAACUGGGUUUAAACGGCUGCCUACAACAUGAAGCUAAGAAACCAGCGGAAAAUCACACAACAGAGGGGUCUUUAAAUAGGGGUGGGUGGCUCUGUGACCCUGAGGGUCCUGCUUGCAGGCUGGAAGGCGAGAGAGCGCCAGAACCCACGAUGCAUUUAUUUACAGGGAAAUUAACAAAGGAUUUUCAACAGAAUGUUCCUCACCAGAUAAGGCAGGGGUGGGCUGGCCAAGCCCCAGUGGGUAACGCCUGGUCCAGAGUCGGGGGAAAGCAGACUUCUUGGCCGAUCGAAGGUGGAGGCCACCUGCCUUGCGCAGCCCAGACGGCCUGCAAUGCCAGACUGACACCCCCGUGGCUCAAGGCGGAGAGAGGAUGCUCAGUAUAGCUCAUGGGUGGCCCCCACACCUAGGUCUGACUUUGGAGCUGGGUCAGGCAUCUAGGGAACAUGGGAAUGGCAAUAAUGACCCCUGGCUCCCUUUCAGGUACACUCCUCCAAGGAAACCCUUCAGGCAGGUGGCCUUGUCUGGGAGCUUGGGCUGGAGCUACGUUGUGUGACUGAGUGGUUUGGCUUUUUCAAUGCUGCCUUCUUCUGAGCACCAAGAGGCCUGGUGGCUGUGUUACUCCCAUUUAUAAAGAAGGUCUAGUGUCAUAACAGUUAUGUGAAAAAGACAGGGAGAUUACCAAGACUGGCACACAUAUGCACAGGUUUGAUUAAUAGAAGCAUAGCACUAAAGAAAUGGGAGGUUCUGUUUCUACUAAGCUUUCCUCUGGUUGGAACACAUAUAGAAAUCUAUCUUCAGUUCUGGUUAGAAAUGAGGGGAGUUAUUUGAAGAUCCAAAAAGUUUAGAAAUGACAAGUCUUUUGUCAUUUGCCGUAUGCCUGCAGAAGCUUGAGAAUCAUUGUCCUGGGCUCUUCCCUGGAUUCCUCAGGUGCAUAUGCACCUAAUAAUCAUAGGUAACGUGCUCUAGAGCAGGCCAGCUUCGAUUGCAAGCCAGUAAAUAAGUUGUGGCGUACUCACACCGUGGAGUAUUGUGUACCAAUUCAAAUGAAGAGUCCACAAAGACACCCAGCAUGGUCGACUGUCACACGUGUAGUGUAGAGUGAGAAAACAUAGACACCAAGCGGCUCAUUUCCAUUUAUGUGCAGUAGACAGGGAGCACAACUAGUCAAGGGUGUUAGAAAUGAGGGUGGCAGGGGAAGUGACCAGGCAGACAUGAGGUUGGCAUCUGGGUCUUGUCAAUGUUUUUUUUUGUACUAGGGAUUAAACCCAGGGGUACUUAACCACUGAGCCACAUCUUCAGCCCCCUUUUAAAUUUUAUUUAGAGACAGCGUCUCAAUAAGCUCAAUAAGUUGCUUAGGGCCUCACUAAUUUGCUGAGGCUGUCUUUGAACUUGCGAUCCUCCCAUCUCAGCCUCCCAAGCUGCUGGGAUUAUAGGCAUGCACCACCACACCCAGGUAAUUUGUUUUUUUUAAGUGAAAAGUAUUUAUCUGGUGCUCAGGAUGAACCCAAAGCCUCCUGCAUAUUAAGCACUGAACUACUCAACUACAUGCAUCCCUGGCCCCUUGUAGUGUUUCCCGACGUGCGUGCCGGUGCUGGUGGCCGCAGUCUAUGAGAAUCUACUGAACGCUACACGUAGGGUGGGCGCACUUUUUGGUAUGCAUGUCAUCCUGAAGCCUGUCUGUCACUGCAGUGGGCUCGGACUGUGGAGUUGCCAUGCGGUUUCUGGAAUUCACAGAGAAAUCAGCAUGGGAAGGGGCCAGAAGGCCACUCCCGCCGGGUGGUGACGGCGACCCAUAGCUAGUGUGUUGUGGAGGGAUAAGCCGAUUUUCUGUUAUUUCUAAAUUUCCUCAGCACCCAGAUGACACAGGUCAGUGACUGCUGAGAAGCCUGUUCCCUCUGAGAAGUUUGAGAUACUUCCUAAGAGCUGUGCUAGACACGGGCCACUCUUUUGGCUUUUGAGGACCCUCCAGUAGACGUGGUCCUUUCUGUGUGUAAGGGAUGGAACCCAUUACGUUCCUCCCCCAAAAUGCUCCAUCCCCUUGUCCCACCUGACUGCUCUCUGUGUCCUUCUAGCUAUUCGAUCAUGUUGCCGAGUGCCUGGGGGACUUCAUGGAGAAAAAGAAGAUUAAGGACAAGAACUUACCCGUGGGAUUCACAUUUUCUUUCCCUUGCUGGCAAUCCAAGAUAGACGAGGUAAGGCAGAUGCCCAGAGUGGGAAAGCUGAUGAGCCCCCUUUUUUUUAAAAAAAAAUUAAUUUAUUUAUUCAUUCUGAUUUGUUAUACAGGACAGCGGAAUGCAUUUCAGUUCAUAGUACACAUAUAGAGCACGGUUUUUCAUGUCUCUGGUUGUCCACAAAUUAGAGUCACACCAUUCGUGUCCUUAUACAUGUACUUAGGGUGAUGAUGUCCAUCUCAUUCCACCGUCUUUCCUACCCCCAUGCCCCCUACUGUCCCCUCCCUCCCCUUUGUCCUAUCUAAAGUUUCCUCCCAUGCUACCCCCCACCCUGUCCCCAUUAUGGAUCAGCAUCCUCAUAUCAGAGAAAACAUUUGGCCUUUGGUUUUUUUGGGAUUGACUAACUUCACUUAGCAUAAUAUUCUGCAACUCCGUCCAUUUACCUGCAAAUGCCAUGAUUUUAUUCUCUUAAUGCUGAGUAAUAUUCCAUUGUGUGUAUAUCACAUUUUCUUUGUCCAUUCAUCUACUGAAGGGCAUCUAGGUUGGCUUCACAGUUUAGCUGUUGUGAAUUGUGCUGCUAUAAACAUUGAUGUGGCUAUGUCCCUGUAGUAUGCUGUUUUUAAGUCCUUUGGGUAUAGUCUGAGGAGAGGGACAGCUGGGUCAAAUGGUGGUUCCAUUCCAAGUUUUCCAAAGAAUCUCCAUACUGCUUUCCAUAUUGCCUACACCAAUUUGCAGUCCCACCAGCAAUAUGUGAGUGCAUCUUUUUUCCCACAUCCUGUUGUUUGUAUUCUUGAUAGCUGCCAUUCUGACUGGAAUGAGAUAAAAUCUUAGAGUAGUUUUUAUUUGCAUUUCUCUGAUUGCUAGAGAUGUUGAACAUUUUUUUUCAUAUAUUUGUUGAUUGAUUGUACAUCUUCUGAGAAGUGUCUGUUCAGUUCCCUGGCCCAUUAAUUGAUUGGGUUAUUUGUUUUUUGGUGAUAAGAUUUUUGAGUUCUUUAUGUUUUCUAGAGAUUAGUGCUCUAUCUGAUGUUGCUAAUGAGCCUUUUUCUCUGCUAACGUCUGCCCGUGGCUCACAGGAACCUGUGUAUCUGGUAUCUUUAGAAACACUUUCAGAAAUUAAUGUGAGGUCACCAUGUAAUUUUUUUUUUAAAUCACUUUAGUUGCUGAUGUAUUUUUUGGAGACAAAUCAUGGUAUUUAUGGCUGCCAGGGAAAGUGAACUAUUUAUUAAACUCGAGCUAGUGAAAGGAAAUACAUCAGGUUCAAUGACAAUGGAGAGAGGAGGGAAAGUCCUCGGUCAGAGUAGCACAGUGUGGUGGCAUUGACCUGGAGGCCCCCUGGUCACUGAGUCUGGGUCUGUCCCUCAGACACAGGCCAGUUUCACCACUGCACCUGCUGGGCAGUGGCUCCAACCUCAGAGAAGCCCUGGGUUCCCCUAUCGGCCUGUCGCACCUGCCUUACUGUUCGUAUCUUAUUUAUCUGUUCAUCAAGGAAGCACUCAGACCUAUCGUGUGAUGUCAUUUACCUCAGAAAACUGCAAGGAUAUGAAAUAAAUAGACAAGACACAAGGCUUUCCUAUGUGCAGAAACAGACACCCCAGCCCCCCAGUCCCUACUCCUAACAAUAGGACUUCUUGUCCAGGGCCUAGCAGGCUCUGUUUAAAUAUGCAUCCCACAGCUAACACACAUGGUCUUCAAACUCCUCUGUGAGUUCAGUGCUUAUGAGUCCCACUUACAGAUGAGAAAACUGAGGCUUAUAGGACUUAAGAGCCUUCCCAAGGUCCCUCAGCCCAGGAGGUAGCAGAGCCUGUGCUCACCGCUAGUCCACAUUGCCGCAGUGCGGUAACCUUUGGGCACAGGGCACCUUCUGCCAUGGCAGGCAGUAUCCUGGAGCCCUGAGUCAGCAGGGUAAGCACCCACUUCUGGGCACUGCUUCCUGCAUGGGAGCCCUGGCUCUUAAGGUUUGUGGCAUCAGCAGGAAGGCAUGUGAGGUCCAGCAGGCCAAGCCCUCAGUUCAGGUGGAGAAUGGAGGUCCUUGCAGAGUCACAGGGCCCCUAAGUGGCAGAGCCUGGGCCAGGGUUCCAGGCCCCACCUUCCCUCAGUGCCUCUGAGAUGCUGCUGGGUCCUCUUUCACCCAGUCAGCCUACCGUGGUCACAUCUGGUGUCUGGCACUAUUGCCCCUCCAAGCUGUGUAAAGCAAUUUGGCCUCCAGAGUGUGUCAGCCAACCUUCCAUGAAGCCUGUGGCUGGUACAGCAGUCGCCCCGUGUCGGUGGGAGACACAUAGCAAACCUCCAGCAGAUGCCAGAGUCGGCAGGUAGCUCCAGACCACACAGGAUGUAGGAUUUUUCCUGUAUGUAUACACUGUAAUGAAGUUUAAUUUAUAAACUAGUCACAGGAAAAGAUCAACAACCAUAACUAAAAAAAAAAAACGGAACAAUCUUAACGAAACACUGGAAUAAAAGUCACGUGAAUGUACAGUGUCCCUCAAAAUGUCAAAUGGCACUGUGAAGUCUGACAAGUGAUCUGAUAACCAGUGUGGCUACUAAGUGACUAUGGGUACUGGCCAGGCCUGGGAGAGAGUGGUCAACAGACCGGCCUGUUCCCCAGAAGGCACAGUCUUCCAGGGACUAAAAUGCAGCUGGGGUCUGGCUACAAAGCCGACUUCCAGUUAGGCUUGCUUGCUGUGUGACCAUCCUCACGGGCACAAGAGCCUUCAUGGUGGAGCACAUUUGCUUGGAAAGGGCCACUGAGCGGCCAGGCUGCCUUCCAGGGAACACGCAUGUCACAGACACUUCAGGAGCCUGGGACCUCUAAGAUUGUCCAAAUCUAGAUCAGCUCCCUUAUUCUAGAUAAGCAAAGUGAGUUCAGAGGAGUGGAGGGAACAGCCCUCAAGAAAAAUGGGCAGGAGGUUGGAAGUAGAAGCUGGUCUCCUGAUCCCAACCCCCUUGGUCUUCCACAGCACCAAGUUCUCUGAAGCUUUUGAGGGGUAAAGGUCAGGGGAAGAAAACAGUGUCCAGAGGUUUUUGCAGUCCCCAGCUUAGCCAUAGUUGCUCCUGAGCAAAGAACCACAAACUCACCUAAGGGCUUACCCAUCCCCAUAGUUAUUUUUCUUUUUAGUGUCUUGAAUUUUUAAAAAACAUCCAAAAGCAGCAUGCAGAGCUAUUAAAAUAAUAUAAAAUUUUGAUGCAAAAAGAAUUCCUACCCCUUCACAUUCCCAAGUGAAUAAAUCAUUGGCUGUCUAUUCUUGAUGUUUCCCCAUUAAUAUGCAAACAGAAAUGGGUUCAUAGUAUAUCAAUAAUGCUUAUAAAUGUUUAGAUUCCAAAGAGGUGCACAUCACACUAGUCAACACUGUCCUUUCAAUAUCUAGGACUGGCUCGCAUAAGCCCGGCAGCCAAGAACUCUGUUGGCAUUUUGUUUCUCUUUCCCAUUUAGCUGUGGCCUUUUUUCCCUGGAGCCAUGAAGCCAUGUCAUGAAUGGAAAGUCCUGAGGCGUCAGGUCCUCCUGGAGUUUCCCUUGCCCUCUAUAUAUUUGGUGGUACAGGGGAUUGAACCCAGGGCCCUGCACAUGCUAGGUAGACUCUCUGCCACCAAGCUACAUCUCCAGCCCUUUUUGAUUUUGAGUUGCUUAUGGCCUCACUAAGUUGCUGAGGCUGACUUUGAACUUGCGAUCCUCCUGCCUCAGUCUCCUGAAUCACUAGCGCCACCACUCCUGGCUCGGCUCUUUCCUGCUUUAUUGUUUUUUGUUUGUUUGUUUGUUUUUGUUUUUGUUUUUGGUAAUGGGGUUUGUACUCAGGGGCACUUGACUACUGAGUCACAUCCACAGCCCUAUUUUGUAUUUAGAGACAGGGUCUCACGGAGUUGCUCAGUGCCUUGCUUUUGCUGAGGCUGGCUUUGAACCCACGAUCCUCCUGCCUCAGCCUCCUGAGCCACUGAUUACAGGCCUCUGUGCCUGGCCUCUUGCUUUCUUUUUAAGUGGGGUCUGACUACAAAGCCGACUUCCAGUUAGGCUUGCUUGGUGUGUGGCACUGCUGUACCUACUGGCCACUUGUUUUAUUCUGGUGUGAGCUGGAGACUGUGGGCCUGUUUUUUCCUCCUCUGUGGUUGCCCCGAGAGAAAUCCAUCCUGGGAGUAAACAGGAGAGGAGCAGACGGACUCUCACCCGGGUGAGCUCGAGAAGGCCACUGGACCCCUGCUGUCCUCCUUGGAGCAGCCGCCAGCGGCCUGGGGCGUGCCAGGCUCCCGACUCUCUUCCCAUUGUCCACUCUCAUUUGCAGGCCAUCCUGAUCACCUGGACGAAGCGGUUUAAAGCCAGUGGCGUGGAAGGGGCAGAUGUCGUCAAGCUGCUGAACAAAGCCAUCAAAAAGCGAGGGGUAAUUUCUCUCAGGCUGCACAGAGGGGAGGAGUGGAGCCGGGUCUUAAAGCAGACUAAAACCCUCUCUUGGGGGCUGUAGUGCCUGAACCCGAGCAGGGCCAGGUGUGGGCCCAGGAGUGUUUAGAGCCAGACUCUCAAAGAUACCAGGGCUGGGGCCAGGAGAUCACCUCCCAAGGGGAGUGUGGGCUGAGGGAGCCACAGACUAGCCUGCGGGCUGGAGCAGAGACCGAGGAGCUGACCUUCUCGUGGGCACGGGAUCUCCUGCUUCCUGCAGUGGUUUGUGGAAGAACGUGACUCCGUGAGUAAAAUCCACUCCCCAAAGGAUCCUAAGCCAGAUAAUUAAGGGGACCGUGCAGUUUCCGUAAGGUAAUCACAGUUCUCUAAUCCAAUUAGUUUGAGUCCUGGCAGCAACGAAGCCAGCACCACCCCCCAGAGCUGGGGAGAUUCUGAGAACCGGUGUGCUCUUGCCAAGCUCUCUGGGGUGGGUGAUCCCUGCACCCAUGUGGGUGUGGACACCAACACCCCGCUAUCCUCCCCAGGACUAUGACGCGAACAUUGUGGCUGUGGUGAACGACACGGUGGGGACCAUGAUGACCUGUGGCUAUGACGACCAGCAGUGUGAAGUCGGCCUGAUCAUUGGUAACAAGCCCCGGUUGCUCAGCCCAGCUUUUAGCUGAUGAUUUGAGGCUCCGCCUUCUGGCUACCAUGUGACUGCAGCUCCCACGUUGUCUCCCAGGCACGGGCACCAACGCUUGCUACAUGGAGGAACUGAGGCACAUUGAUCUGGUGGAAGGAGACGAGGGGAGGAUGUGCAUCAACACUGAAUGGGGAGCCUUUGGGGACGAUGGAUCACUGGAAGACAUCCGGACCGAAUUUGACAGAGAGUUAGACCGAGGGUCCCUCAACCCUGGAAAACAGCUGUGAGUUUUUGACAUUCUCCCCUAGCUCCCUACAUGAUCUCGGGGGACACUUAACAAAACCCCGGGGGUGGGGUGGAAGCUGGAAGGGUGCAAAGCCAGGUGAUCCCAGAUGCAAAAGCCCAUCAGAUGUGCAUGAUUUUUGGCUCCUCAUUUGGACAGAGGCGCAGCUGUGGAGUCAGUAGCUUUCAAAGCAGUUCUUAGAUAUUAUUCUCUUUGUUUAAUUACAUGAUAAUUGUGUCCUUGUGAAACAUUUUGAAAAUUAAAAGCACAGAAGCAUCAGUAUAAAGAUACGGUUGAAAGACAUUCCUACAUGCUGUAGUUGCUGGUCUGCUGCUCAGGAGGAGGGGACCUCAUCAUACGUGGGGCCUCAGUCGAGCAAGGGAGAGGGAGCGUGCAUUUGUCAAUAUUGUCAGCACAUAUUCACGGAGCACUUUGUGCUGAGCUCUGUGCUAGACUCCAGGGCUCCAAAACAGUGCCUUCCCUCCCAGGACUUACCAUCCCUAUGGGAAGAUGGGUCACAUCGAGCUACACAAGUCACACAGACCUUAGGAGAAACCCGUGUCAAGCACAGGAGGGAGGAUCAGAGUCCAUACAGCAUCCAACUUACAGGCGGGUGGAUUUUGGCCUGGCGAGUUCCUGGCAUCAUUCAGGCUAGAGUGGAUGUCGCUUUCUCUGAGCCACUUUUUUCCUGAAGUGCAUGCGCACAUUUCUCUGUGAUGCAAGCAGGCUGCCAGCCCUCUUGAGUUAGCCCAGCCUCUGGCAGCCUUGUCCUGGGCUUGGGUUCUGUCAGCCUGCAGAGAGGCGCGCGCAGACCCUGUACACCUGACGGCCCUCACCCUGAUGCCAGACAGAAACAGGGGUUGACUGAAACCCGUCAUCUGACAGAUCUCCAUGCGCCCAGCUAAACAAUUGGUCUUUCCACCCGAAUUAAUGGAAUUGCAUAAUCAUGGGUGGCAGCCCUCCCCCCACCGUGGGGGAGGGGGAGUGGAGGAACCAGGUUCUCAAUGAGAGGCUGUCCAGAUUCUUAGACCCAGAGAUGAGCUUCUGCUUUGCAGGUACCAGCUUGGGGAUAAGGGACUCUAGUUCCAAAGCUAUGACAGGAACAAUUUUGGGGGGUUCCCUCCCCAACCAUGAACCUGACUCCUAGUCCUAAAACCUGAUCCCAGCUAACAUGAAGUUAUUGCCAGUGCCUGUGGACGCUUCACCAAAGAGCCUGGAUGUGCUUGAUUACAGGGUGCCUUGGGCACCUCUGAGUGGUCUGUGACAUACGGCAUCUGCAUCCUGUUGUAUCCCUAAUGUCCCCCAAUCUCCACAGUCUCAAUCACAUGUGACCUCAGGGGCUUCAGAUAAGGGGUUAUGUGCUGUAGCUUCUAUCAGCCACUUACUCAGAUGUCUCCCUUCUCAGCAGUGUGGACAGGCAGGUCACUGUGGUUGCUGAGCAGACGUGAUCUAGGCCCUUGUCUGUAUCCUUAGCCCAGUGUGGGAACCCUGCCUGGCUUGCAUAUGUAAACCUGGAUUUCGCUGCCAUAUGGGUUUUUUUUUUUUUGGUACUGGAGAUUGAACCUGGGAGCACUUAACCACUGAGCCACAUCUCCACCUCUUUUUUGUAUUUUAUUUAGAGACAGGGUCUCACUUAGUUGCUGAGGCUGGCUCUCGAUCCUCCUGCCUCAGCCUCCUGAGCCACUGGGAUGACAGGCGUGUGUGACUGUGCCCGCCUCCCUUCUUUUAUCUUCAACCCUCUCCUUCCCUCCAGAUUCCUUGGGUUUCUUGUUCUGUUGUCUGUGUUGCCUCUGGAAUCCCCAAUUCCAUCUCCCUCUGAUUCCUUAUUGUCUCCUUCAGGGUGCGAGGAGAGCCUUUGCCCCACACAGCAGCCAGCGCCUUGGCCACAGCGGCCGACUCUGGAGAGGGAGCCCUGUGGCCUGGGUGGUGGUGGAAUAACUGCACAGGUUCCCGGCCCCACGCCCUCUUUUUCUUCUUGUUCUGCCCCAGCCAUAGAAUCUCUACCUGGCCAUGGGCCUCUCCCUCCUUUUCCUUCCCCAGGCUGACUGCUGGGGCCAGUUGCUGUGCACGUCCUCGCUCCUGACCCCGACCCCAUCUCAGCCCUGCCUGGGCCCACCAGCAGGCAUGGUGCUGCUCCUCGAUGCUGGGCCCUGGCCAUCAGGGUCUGAGUGCUGAGAGGCAGAUUUCAUGUGGGCAGAAGGGACGCACGGCCGGGGAGAGCCACUGGCUCCACCAGCCUUUGGCUUGUGCAGAGAGGGGCUCUUGGGAGGUGCCAUGAUUUGUUCUGUUGCUUCACAGCUUUCUAAAGACUGAGAAAGGACAGACCUGGCCCUGGCUCCAUCUGGAAUAGGGUUAUCAGUGCUGCAUUUGUGAAGGACCAUUGGGUGGGACAGGAGCAGAUCAUUGUGGGUGUCUCCAGAAGGCAGAGGAAGAAGUGGUGAUGGGGUGCCAGCAGCCGGACAUUAGCUCAUCCUGACGGGGAAACUUCUCCUUUUGUCACACUGCCCAGUGGUGGACGGGCUACCUAGGAAGUGACUGGAGGAAGACAAGCAGAAGCUGGAUGAGGGAUGAGGCUAGGUAGCCCUGCCGUGACAGUAGUAGCUAACAUUGAACGGCACUGUCCAUGAGACAGAUAGACAGACUGCACAGGGUUAGAGCAGAGUUUCUGGUGUUCCGUUUAGCUGGGUUCAACAUAUGGGUUUGCCACUGUUAGCUCUGUCCAUGGGCGAGAUUUAUAACCUUUGCUUCUCAGUUUUUCCAUCUGUGAAGUGGGUAUAAUGCCAAUGUCUACUUUGUAGAAUGGUAAUGAGGAUAAAAUAAGUUAAAAUAUUUAAAGAGCUGAGAAAAGUACCAGAAACAUAGGAAGGUCAUAAGAAUUCAUUGUUGGACACCAUAGUAUUUAACCUAUAUUAACCCACAUCCUCUGUAUAAUCUGGUAAGAGGCCCUGUUAUUGUCCCCGUUACAAAAGCGAGGAGACUGAGGUCCAGAGACGUGAGGAGCCCAGUGAGGACCCCAGUGGAAACGGAGGCAGGGCUGAGCCUGGGUAGUCAGGCUCUGCCUGGCUCCUUCCAGCUUGGUCCUCCACAGGGGCUGGUUCCCAUAGGUGCCUGGGGUGGCAGCUGGGCAGCUAGGACCCAGAAGGAUGCUCCUUCCAGGGCGGUGGCUGGGCGGUCCUGUCUGGUCCUGCAGGAGCAGAAACAAUGGGGACUCUGUCUCUGAAGAGGCUCUGAGCUUGCUGACAGACUGCUGCAUGCUCAGGUCCUAACAGCAUCUGGGCUUCCAGGCCCGGCUCUGACUGGAACAGAUUGUUUUGCUGUGUCACUAUCAGCUCUGGGGAUGCCAGCCCUGAGAGGGGAGGCCGCGCUCUCACGGGGGCCUGCCUCUUUGAUCCGCCCUCCUCAGGGUUUCCUCCUGGCCCCUGGUCAGCCAGGAUCGGGGCUGAAUCUGGCUCAGAUACAACAUGGAGCCCCUGUUCCCUGGUUCUGGCCUGGGCCUGUCUCAGUUGUGUGUUGGCCUCAGUCUUAGGCUCCCUGCAGCGCUGAGCAGGGGGGAGAGGCUGCUGCAAUAACCGGGCUGCACCUCACGCCCCCCCCAGGAGAGGGAGUGGCUCGCUUGAUUCAGCUGGAGCAGGACAUUGAGCUCACUGGCUUUCAGCCUCUCAGACCCCAUCCCUGCAGCUAAGGGUGAAGUCUGUUGGGGCAGUUGGGGGUGACUUUCUCUAAGCGCAGAGGGUACCAAGAAGGUGAUCUGCAAAUGUCCCAGCAGCAGCCCAAUGAGGAGAAUGCUUCCUUGACACCCCCUUCCCACAGGAGGGCCCCUGAUAGAGGGAUGGAAGUCAAAGCCCUCUAAAAAGCACAGCAGGCCUGGGUGUGGUGGCACACCGUAAUCCCAGUGGCUGGGGUGGAGGGGAUGAGGCAGGAGGAUUGUGAGUUCAAAGCCAGCCUCAGCAACUUAGUGAGGCCUUAAGCAACUCAGCAAGACCCUGUCUCUAAAUAAAAAAAAUAUAAAGGGCUGGGGAUGUGGCUCAGUGAUUAAGUGCCCCUGAGUUCAAUGCCCAGUAUCAAAAAAUUAAAAAUAAAAAGCAUAGCAAGCCUGGCACAGGCCUAUAAUCUCAGGGAUAAUCUCUAGGGUGGCUGAGGCAGGAGGAUCACAAGUUUGAGGUCAUCUUCAGACACUUAGUGAGAUGCUGUCUCAAAAUGAAAAAUAGAAAGGUCUGGGCGUAUGGCUCCGUGGCAGCGCACUCCUGCAUUCAUCCCCAGUACCUCAAAACAAAGCAACAGAACACGGCUGACAGUUUGUGAGGGAUGAUCGAAGUCCACCCGCUUGUCUUGGGGCCUUCUCAUUUGUCAUUGCCAAUCUACGUCCUAGCAUUCCCCUGCCUCCAAGCUGCCUUCCCCGCCUCCUCCUGCACGUCUCUUCUCCCUGGCACAGGCAUGGGGGUGACUUGCCCCUUCUGGAGUCUUCGUCCUGGUCCCCUCUUUGUUGAAUCACACGAGCGAGCGUGGUUUUGCCUCCCAAGGAGACUGGGAGCUUGUGAGUGGUGACACUCCUUUUGUGUCUGUCCCCUUCCUCACGUGCUGCCCCAGGGUUGGGUGUGGAGGAAGGACUGACAGGUGCCCAUGUGCUCUCUCCUGCAGGUUUGAGAAGAUGGUCAGUGGCAUGUACUUGGGGGAGCUGGUCCGACUGAUUCUGGUCAAGAUGGCCAAGGAGGGCCUCUUGUUUGAAGGGCGGAUCACCCCGGAGCUGCUCACCAGGGGCAAGUUUAACACCAGUGACGUGUCCGCCAUCGAAAAGUAGGUGCUACGCGGAGGCUUUCUGGGGAUAGAGGGGACAGAGAAGGGAGAUAGGGCCCUUCCAAUCCUGGCCGGUCCAUGAUUAAAGAAGCACCUAGUUAGCAGCCAAUGCUUCCUGGGGGGUUUUCCCUUCCAGUUAGGAAAGCGACCCCCCCCACCCCGCCUCCCCCUUCUCUCCUCUCCCUCUCACAUAUGUGCAGCCUCAAGGCAAGAUUAUUGCUGAGGAAGCUCCUGACUCCACUCCUAGUGUUGAGUGACAGUUGACCAAGCCCAGGCCUGGGUUCUUGGAGCUCCCUGUAGAUAUGUCCUGACCUCCUUCAGACUGUGUUCCAGGGAACCCUAGAGACCUCAAGAUGAUAAUUGGAUGAUUCCAGGGCCAGUAGGUUUGAGAAAUAUAGUACAAUUUAUCCUCCUUUUAGAGAUUUACAAUAUUUAUUAGCCUGUUUAAAAAAAAAAGAAGAACCUAGUUCCCUUUGGUGAACUCAUUCAUUUAGUUAGCUUUCCAUCACUGUGACCAAAACAUCUGACAAGAACAACUCAGAGGAGGGAAAGUUUAUUCGGGGCUCAUGGUUUGGGGUCUCGUCCACAGACAGCCGACUCUGGGCUCAAGUGAGGCAGCACGUCCCGGGGAGGGUCCCGGGAGGGGCCCAGCAGAGGAAAGCCACCCAGCUCGUGGUGGGGUCAGGAAACAGAGAAAUGGGGGGAGAGAGACAGAGAGAAGGGGCCUCAGGGAAGGUGCACCCUUUCAGGGGCGCCCCCAGUGACCCGCCUUCUGUAGCCACGCCCCACCUCCUGCAGUUACCACCCACUCAGUCCAGUGAAACUCAGGUGGACAGAUCAGAUUACAGCUCCAUGAUGAAUCGUUUUACCUCUGAAUAUUCCUGCAUUAACAGGAGCUCUGGUGGGACACCGCCUAUCUCAGCCAUAAUACUCAUUAUUUCCUAAACUUCUUUUGUGCCUCAAUCCCUCCCCACCCCCACACAUAUUCAGGGAACAUCUGUUAACAGCCAGAAAUGUGCCCUGAAACAAGUUUGCGAAACAGUCGAUUAACAGAUGAGAUUGGGUAGUUUGACAAGGGACAACCUGACCGCUGGCCUUUGGCAUCCCCAAAGAAACCCAGAGUCCAGUGUCUUCACUCUUAGUCCCGGCCUUCACUCUGAGAGGGACGUAGGUAGGCUUGAUCCCAGUGCUCUUGUGGCUGGCUUCCGUGUGCCCCUAGGUUCAGGAGGUGCCACGUGGCUUCCUGGGGCCACUUACAUAAAGACGAGGCCAGCGUGCCGCCAUCCUCAGUGCCAGGAGUGCUGGUGCGUCCCCACAAGGAAGGAGUCAUUUUCCCCGCCCACUGUGUGGUCCUGGGAACUCUCAUGCACAUCGGCUUCUGUGUGGUUGGAGCAGAAGCAGGUUUUCUGGGCAUUAGUAAAUCUGUGCCCUGGAAUUUGUCCUAGUGUUGUUCUCCUUCAGGAGCCGUUAGUGCAGGGGUACACCAGGCAGGGAACCCUGCUCCUGAGUUUCCAACCAUCUCUCUUUGCAAGUCUCUUGGGUGCCUGAGAACGGAGGGGACUGGGGGAGGGUCCAGUAGGAGCAGGGCAGCGGCUUGACUUAGUCCUGUGUGAAGUCAGGAAAUACCUGCCUUCUUCUUGGUCUGCUUCUGCUCUUGGCUCUUUACUUAGCAAGGAUCAUAAAAUGCACUUGACCUAGCCCCAGAAAGCAUGUCUACAUUUUAAUGAAGGCUUUCUCCACAAAACACCCUAUAAGCAGGGAUGUUAGAUGCUUUCUUUCGAAAAAUCAAUACAAUGUCACUAGUUCCGACUCACCAUUGGGCUGGAGUUAAGACUCCAACUGAAAAGCAUUUUUAAAAGAAGUUAAAGCCUUAAGAAUCAAAACAGGAAUAAAAUUGUCAUCAUUUGCCAAUGAUAAAUGUCUUUGUGGAGAAUUCUCCCCCAAAGUCUGUAGGGAAGUGAAUAAUAUCUGGAGAUAAUAUUAGAAAAGUCCAUUAUGUUUGUCUAUUUACAAUAAUUAAAAUGUGUCUAUAUGUUUUUGAAAUAAACUUCUCAUUUUGGAAUAACUUUAGAUUUGGGGAAAAUCUACAAAUGUAGCACCAGGGCUCCUUCCUGCACAUUCCUGUUGUUAACCUGUUAGAUCACUGUGUCGUUAAAGGGCGGUGUACGAGUGUGUCAUUUUCAGAGACCAGGUACAAUAACAGCAAAACUGUAAAGUCCCUCUGAAUGAAUCUCACAAAAACUACACAAGACAUGCACGUGGGAGAUUAAAAUUUUGACAGAAAAACCCCAGGAAGGCGCAGCUCACAGACCCCAUGAGCAGCCUUGUCCCCCAGGCCUCCCCUGGUCCUGGGCUUGGGCAGAAGCAGCUGUGGCCCUCCCUGCUCAGCGGCCAUCUCAGCUGUGCUCCCCUCCACGCCUGGCCCACCAGAACCCAGCCGAACAGUUGUCCCUGCCACCAGCAGGUGUGUGUUGGGGAGGCGCUCCCUCCCUGGGCUCUUUGAGGCGUUGGACCUCCCGGUCCCGCCUCUGCACACCCGGUGAGUCGGGGUCAGCCUGGAGUCCCCGUGCUCUGCGCUGCCUGGCUGGUCCCUCACUCACAAGCUCUGGGCUCCAACCUCACAGGAAUAAGGAAGGCCUCCACAAUGCCAAAGAAAUCCUCACCCGCCUGGGAGUGGAGCCAUCUGACGACGACUGUGUCUCGGUCCAGCACGUGUGCACCAUCGUGUCCUUCCGCUCUGCCAACCUGGUGGCUGCCACACUGGGUGCCAUCUUGAACCGCCUGCGUGAUAACAAGGGGACCCCCAGGCUGCGGACCACGGUUGGUGUGGACGGCUCUCUGUACAAGACGCACCCACAGUGAGUCUGCCUUUGCUGUACUUGUCUCUCAGAGUUUUGCAGCCAGUGAAAGGUUUUUUGUUUUUUAUUUUGCAGACAAGGCAUGUCUGGUUCUGGGCAAAGAGGUUAAAUUUGCCCUUUGGGGAGGCUCGCCCUUAGUGGAUUCUCUCUGGUGUUACCUCAAACGCCAUUAGUAUCUUUCCUUAUCUCUAGCUGCAGGGGCGCUGGGCGGAAUGUGUCUGUAGCUCAUCUGCAUUUCAUCAGGAGGAACUUCAUCCUUCUUGUAGUUUAGGUUGUAGGUACGCCACCCAUAUUCUUGUUUCAGAAACUCCUGAUAAAAUUCCCCAGCUCCUUGGCCAUUCCUUUUUUAAGUGAGGAACUUGUCACUUGAGACCAGAGAGAUAUUAAGUAAAUGGUCCCCACUUGCUGCUUUCUUGUCUGUUGGCUGCCUUGGCCAGUCUCCGCUCCAUGGCCAACCUUAGCUUCCAGAGCCUACUAGGUCACUAAGGACAUGACUUGAGCCAGGCGUGGUGGUGCACGCUUAUAUUCCCAGCGACUCGGGAGGCUGAGGCAGGAGGAUCUCAAGUUUAAAGCCAGCCUCAGCAAUUUAGCAAGACUCUAAACAAUUUAAUGAAACUCGGUCUCAAAAAAAUAAUAAAUGAAUAAAAGGGCUGGGGAUGUGGCUCAGUGGUUAAGCACCCCUGGGUUCCAUCCCUGGUAGCAAAGACAAAUUUUAAUUAUUUGUUUGGUAAGUUUUAAGAAUGGACUGCCUAUGGCAUGGGUUUUGUAUACAGGACCGCAGGUAGUUUCCCACUGUGCAUGUAUUUCACACAAAGUGUAUAUUUCACACAAAGUGAUACUGUAUCAGAUACUGUGCCUUCACAUGGUGCUGGUGAGCAUUGGCCCUGAACUCCUGGGCUCCAGUGAUCCGCCUGCCUUGAGACCCCGGGAUUAGAGGCACACACCGGCGCACCAGCUUUUUCUUUGGAAUUUCUUGGCUAAUUUUUGGACAAGAGACCAGGCAUGGUGGUGCAUGCCUGUAAUCCCAGCAGCUUGGGAGACUGAGGCAGGAGGAUCACAAGUUCAAAGUCAGCCUCAGCAAUUUAUUGGGGCCCUAAGCAACUUAGCGAGACCCUGUCUCAAAAUAAAAAAUAAAAAGGGUUGGGGAUGUGGUUCAGUGGUUAAGUGCCCCUGGGUUUAAUUCCCAGUACCCCCCACCCCACCCCUGAAAAAAUUUUCUGGACAAGAAAGCCUAAGGGUUUGCAACGUCACAUGAUUUUGACUGUAGUAAAAAGUAUAUAACAUCAAACAGAUCAUUUAAUCAUCUUGAAACAUGCGGCAUGUUUCAUGAGUUUAUUCUUUUUUUUUUUAAGAGAGAGAGAAAUUUUUAAUAUUUAUUUUUUAGUUUUCGGUGGACACAUCUUUAUUUUAUUUUUAUGUGGUGCUAAGGAUCGAACCCAGCGCCCAGCGCAUGCCAGGCCAGCGCGCUACCGCUUGAGCCGCAUCCCCAGCCCAUGAGUUCAUUCUUAUUGUGCAACGAUCACCAUGAGCUGUAUCCAGAAACGUUUUUCCAUUGCAACUUCACAUUUUAAACAAUGACUUUAAUUCGGUUUUUGCAUCGUUUCUCAUUUCAGAAGUAAUAUUUACUCAGGAUGGAAAUUUGAGAUAGUUUAAAAAGUUGCAAAAAGAAUAGAAGCCCUUCUUCUUCUCUUCCGUUGGAGUCGACUGCUGUUAAUAUUUUGGGAAACCUUUUUUCCUCUUCCCCUUGGCAGCAGCCUCCACACUGCAGAGCGCAAGUUCUGUGUCUUACGCCAUCCUGUCUUCAAGGUCUUUUCCAGCCACUAAGAAUGUACAGGAUUUGGGAGUGGGGAUGGAGGGAAAGAAAGAGCCCAUGUGAAAAUAAAAAAAAAACAAGAGCGAUUAUUUAUUGAGUCCUUCCUCAGUGCCAGUGACUCACAUAAGCAUGUUGAUUACCUUAUUCAGUUUCCAACAGGACACUUUCACACAGAUCCGCAUUUACUCCAAGGUCAAGUUACUAGCUCAAGGUCACUUAUGCGGACAUGGUAGUGCUCACCCUUGUUUUCAGAUCUGACUUUGAAGCACAGUGCUUUGACUAGCAAGGUGGUCUCCUUGACAUGGUGGAGGACAACAUCUCUGGACUUUGAAUUUUUUGUAUUCAUUACUUAUAAAAUAAUGAGGAUCUUUUUAUGGGUGAUUGUGGGCAACUUUGUUUUUCUUUUUUCACACAGAUGAUUAAACCCAGGGUCUAGCACGUGUUAAGCAAGUGCUGACCUACAGCCCUGAUCCUUUUUAUUUUUCAUGUUGAGACAGGGUCUGGCCAAGUUGCUGAGGCUGUUCUUCAACUUGUGAUCCUCCUGCCUCAGCCUCCCAAGUAGCUGAGAUUAAAGAUACGCACCACCAAACCUGGCUAUUUUUCCGUUUUCCUUGUCUGCAUUUGCUUUUUUUUCUACCAUGGAUGUAUAGGACUUGUGUAAUGAAAAAAGCAAGUGUAGAAAUGGAACUAGAGUGUGGUGAAAGAAAGGGGUACCAAGCCGGGCACAGUGGUGUACACCUGUAAUCCAGAGGCUCGGGAGGCUGAGACAGGAGAUUAGCGAGUUCAAAGUCAGCCUCGGCAAUUUAACAAGGUACUAAGCAACUCAGUGAGACACUGUCUCUAAAUAAAAUACAAAAUAGGGCUGUGGAUGUGGCUCAAUGGUUAAGCGUCCCUGAGUUCCAUCCCUGGUACCCCACCCCAUAAAAAAAGAAAGAAAAAUAAAGGGGUACCAGAGGACUGGGGAUAUAGCUCAGUUGGUAGAGUGCUUGCCUCACAUGCACAAGGCCUUGGGUUCAAUCCCCAGCACCACAAGAGGCCCCUGACCGGUGGCUCAGUCCAGCCAUCAUGGCACGCCCACUCCACUUUCUUCCCCAGGUAUUCUCGGCGUUUCCACAAGACCCUGAGGCGCCUGGUGCCCGACUCCGAUGUUCGUUUCCUCCUCUCGGAGAGUGGCAGUGGCAAGGGGGCCGCCAUGGUGACCGCAGUGGCCUACCGCUUGGCUGAGCAGCACCGGCAGAUAGAGGAGACCCUCGCCCACUUUCACCUCACCAAGGAGAUGUUGCUGGAGGUGAAGAGGAGGAUGCGGACCGAGAUGGAGAUGGGGCUGAGGAAGCAGACAAAUGACAAGGCUGUGGUCAAGAUGCUCCCCUCCUUUGUCCGGAGCACCCCAGAUGGGACCGGUGAGGGCCUGUUGGGACUGUCAGGUCCUCCUGCUCAUGACAGUGACCCCAUCACUGCAGAGCUGGGAUGGGGUGGAUCCUCCAGUGGAUGCGUUUGCACUAGUGAUGCCUGAUCUGGCAGGAGAGGGAAGCUCAUUCCGACUCUUCUCCAUUUUUACCACCAGCUUGUCCUGUGUGUGUGGCUCAGGGCUGCUAAAUCCCUCUGGCCCAACCUCCCGGUCCAGCACUGUCUCUAAAGCCAUGUUAGAAUUAGGGAGUUGGUUUCACCGUAGAAGGAAGCUGGGCCCUGAGGUUGUUCUAGGUUGGCUCACAAACAUGGCAAAGUGUCAGAAGAAUCAACACACAGUGCUGCCUUCCUCAGUCCCGGCAGGGUGUGUGUGAAGGAAGCAGGGUCCCUGGGCUUGUCACAUCUAGGCAGAUUGAAGAACACCAUCCAGUGCCCAAUGCCACCUCCAUGGUUCUUAUUGGAGCUGAGCUUUGUGCAGAAUCUGAAGAGCUUUGGGGUGGAUCCUCGGAAUAAUGCGUGUUUGUGAUAUGAAUAUCUUCUGUGUAAGUUACUUAUAUGCACUAAUGAUGCAUGAUUGGCCAGAGCAGGACACUUAGUGGCAUAAACGAGCAAGCAUUUAUUAUUGCUCACGAGUCUCUGUGUCAGCGGGAUGGUUCUGCUUCUCUGGUCCAGGCUUGGCUGACCUCUGCUGGACUCGUUCCUGAGCUGCAGUCAGCUGGACGGUCAGCUGGGAGGGUGACCUGCUGGGGUGCAGGGUGCUUGGCUGCGUGGGUCACCCUCCAGCAGGCUACUUACUGGGCUUGGGCUCUUCAGUGGCAGCAGCAGGGUCCACCUGGAGGCAGAAAAGGACUUUAAAGCCUCUUGGAGGCUGAGGUCAGGACCUGGCUCAGCAGUGCUUCUGCCGUAUUCUGUUGGACCCACGAUCCAAGGGGAGGAGAAACAGACCCCCAUCUUUUGGUGGGAAGGAUAGUGGCUACUUCUGCAAACACUCCACACGUUGACAUGAAUUAUUCAUUUUUGUAUGAAGUUCCCUAAAAUCAGGGCAUCGUUGCAAGUCUUUUUAAUAAGGCUUGUGAAGUUUAUUUGUUAUUGUGACAGGCAGUUCACUCCUGGGGCCUUUUGUCCUUGCAGUGUGACUCGGUGGCUGUGGGCAGUGAUUUAGUACCCACCCCUCCUCAGAGCCCACGCUGUGUACUGGUUGGGUGGUUCCAGCUCCCACCCCCCUACCCCUGUGUGCAACCUGGAGACCCUCCUCUUGCAAUUCUGGAGUCUAGGGCUUGCCAGCUGCCCAGAGGCACGUAGCAGUUUGUGGCAUUCUUUGUGUUCUUUACUCUUAACAGAGCAUGGUGACUUCUUGGCCCUGGAUCUUGGAGGAACGAAUUUCCGUGUCCUGCUGGUGAAAAUUCGUAGUGGGAAAAAGAGAACAGUGGAAAUGCACAAUAAAAUCUAUGCCAUUCCCCUUGAGAUCAUGCAGGGCACUGGGGAAGAGGUGAGUUGGAUCUGCUUUUUCAUGUCUGUAGUGUGUGCACGGCACACACAGGCCUGGAGGUGCCCGUGGUCUUGUGAGGACCAACACCUGCCAGGGAUGCCCCCAGCUGUGCAUUUCUUCCCUUGUGGCCCCAAAGCACUGGGUAUUUUCAGCCUUGCCUGGUCCACAGCGCUCUGGUGGCUGGUAGAUCCUGGAGAAAGGGGCUUGCUCUGCAUGUACCUGUGUGUGUGUGUGUGUGUGUGUGCCUGUUUGUGUUUAUAUGUGUGCCUGUGUGUGUGUGCCUGUGUGUGUGUGCGCGUGCCUGUGUGUGGUGUGUGUGUGUGUGUGCGUGUGCCUGUGUGUGUGUGCCUGUGUGUGUGUGCCUGUGUGUAUGUGUAUCUGUGUGUGUGUGUGUGUGUGCUGAAAGUAUGAAACCAGAGAGAGCCUGGGUGAUCCCUUCUUGUCCCCUACAGCUGUUUGACCACAUCGUCUCCUGCAUCUCUGACUUCCUGGACUACAUGGGGAUCAAAGGCCCCCGGAUGCCUCUGGGCUUCACCUUCUCAUUUCCUUGCAAGCAGACGAGUCUGGAUGCGGUGAGUCUCUUCCUUUGGAAUAAUGAUGGCACCUGCGUGGCCACAGUGGGCUGGCCCUGGAGGCCUUCUCCAGGCUCGUUGUCACCCCUACGUGUCUGCUUCUGGCUUCCAUGGCCCGGAGAGUGUACCCAGGCUUUAUUCUACCCACCCCAGAGCAUCCUGAGCCCUCCUCUCCUCUCGCAUUAUUGACAGCAGUCUCCUCUUCUGGGAAGCCUUUGGGGCCUCCAGGCACCAAGAACCUCCUCACCCUCUUCUGUGUUCCCUGGGGUGUCAGAUGGUGGCUUAAUACAUGCUCAUUUGAUAGAUGAGACGAAACAGGGCCCAGGAGGGGCUGAGGACAGGCUGAGGACUAAGCUCUGAGCACAGAGCUGAGGGUUCCUGUUCCUGUCCUCAGGGAGCUCAUUGCACCGAGGGAUCCGCCUUUCCGCUUGCAUCCAGCACCUGUGCAGGCGGGGCUGGGGUGGCGUGGCUGGGUACAUGCAGGCACAGGGAGUGGGUUGCGCCCUCACCCAGGCAGGACUGAGCCUGUUUCUUGGAAGAGUUGUUAUUCUCUUAUAUUCCAAACAAGUUGGGCAUUGCAAAUGGGGGCGUGGCCACGGAGGGGGCAUCGGGCCAGGGUUUGAGGCAUGAUUGGCAGUGCUGGGAGAGCCAGGGAGGGUGACGUAAUGCCAUCCUGCACUGUGACUUUGGCGCUGGCUCCUCCUAAUUUAGAGCUGAGCAGUUGGAUCUAUAUAAAUGUGUGUUGUUGUUUUUGCAGUUUUUAAAGCCUUAAUGAUUUUUUUCCAAGCAGUUUGCUUCCACUGUCACCUUAUAUUCCUCAUAGUGACUUUGCCUCUGUGGCUUUUUUCCCCCCAGCAAGUGUGCAACUUCCACUCAAUGAAGCUGAGGUUUACUUGGGGUAGUAUAGGAGUUAUUAAGAUCAUGCCUUCUUUCAGUUAGGUAGUCAGUAAAUUCCUCAGGGGAGCUAGUGGGUCAUGCCAUGGCAGCACCAGGCUAAGAUCCUGUGUAAGAAUUGUCCAGUAUGGCCAUUUCUUUAUUUUUUCCUUUCUGAGUGAUACUGGGGAUUGAACCCAGGGCCUCGUGUUCUACACCCCCAACCCCAGUAUUGCCAUUUUCCUAAGGACUUGGACAUAGCCAUUAACUCUAUGUGCUUCAGUUUCUCCAACUGCAAAGAGGGGAUUUUUAAAGCUGCCAGCUGCCGAGCACCAUGGUGUAUGCUCUAAUCCAGCAGCUCAGGAGGCUGGGACAGGAGGAUCAGGAGUUCAAAGUCAACCUCAGCAGCUUAGUGAGGCCCUGAGCAACUCAGUGAGACCCUAUCUCUAAAUAAAAUACAAAAAGAGGGCUGGGGGUGUGGCUCAGUGGUUGAGCGCCCCUGAGUUCAAUCCCUGGUAUCAAAAAAAUUUAAAAAGCAGACAGCUGUGUGUCCAGUAGGUGGGGGUGGGGAGCCUGCAGGGGAAGGGACAUUCUCUUGGCUUGGCACUCGGAUGCUUGGACAUUCUCUGGGUGGGAGUCCUCAGCAGAUGUUGACUUGGGAGGGAGGAGGGUGUGAAACUUUGUCUUCUGCCCAGAAGGAUAAAUGGCCUAACUCUCCUCCUGGUGCCUCUCACAUUUCAGGGAAUCCUGAUCACCUGGACAAAGGGUUUUAAGGCAACUGACUGUGUGGGUCACAACGUAGCCACUUUACUAAGGGAUGCGAUAAAAAGGAGAGAGGUAACUAUCAAAAGAACGUUUUAAAAACUCUUUUGGGGGGAGGGGGGGUGGAUAUAAAAACUGCUUGCUUAUUGUAAACAAUUUGAACAAUAAAGAAGUUUACGAUGUGGGUAAUAUAAGAUCCCCAUUUCCUCACCCAACUGCUGCAUUGAAACGAGGGUUAUAAGUUUUGUGUUGUUAAGAGAGUGAUAUUUUUUAAAAAAUAUUUUUUAGUUGUCUAUGAACCUUUAUUUUAUUUAUUGAUCUGUGGUGCUGAGAAUCUGAACCCAGUGCCUCACACAUGCUAGGCAAGCACUCUGCCACUGAGCCACACCCGAGCCCAGAGAGGUAUUUUUUUAAAGAAAGGUGAAAUCAUGACUGUCAUAAAGAGCUGUCUACAGUGGGGCUUGGCCUGCACUGUCACUAGGACGUCGUGUUCUAUUGAACUCAGUGUACCCGAGUACAAACAUUAGGCACAGUCGCCCUGUUGGCCUGACGGAUUUAGACAGAGUCAUCCAUGAUCAUGUCAGAACUCGGAACAUAGUCAUAGGAUUGUCCCUGCCCCCUGACGGCACCCAUUCUAGAACAAAGCCCUAGCAGAUCACACUGGUUACUGUGCAGCAGUGAACAAGCAGGAUUGGAGCCACCCCUACCCUAAAGCAGUGUCCCUUUUCUUUUCAAAGGAAUUCGACCUGGAUGUGGUGGCUAUGGUCAACGACACGGUGGGCACCAUGAUGACGUGUGCUUAUGAGGAACCCAACUGUGAGGUUGGACUUAUUGUAGGUGGGUGCUCUGGGAAGCAUCUCUUCUUGGUCAAGGGAGAACUGGGUUUUCCUUCUCUCUGGCACCUGGACUCAGUAGCUUGGUCCUCGGUUUGGGACAAUCUGUCUGUACUGUCCCUUUGCCAUCUUUAGAGUUCAGUGCUGGACGAAGACCUCAGAGUUCACUGGAGGGUUAUCCCUCCCCAGGACCCCCAUGGUGCUGCACAUGGAUUGUGAUAGACCGUCAAGAAUGGGGCUUUCCAGAAGAGAGAGUGCAAAGACCCUGUGGCCCGGGUGGACAGGGUGGGGUACCUGGCGCUGUCCUGGCUGGCAGGGCAACACUGUUGGGCUGUAUGGAGGGGCUCCCAGGAGGUGUGGCUGUGGGAGUCAGACUGGAAAGGAAGCAAAAAUCACUUUUUCUCCUGACAAUGCUUCCAGCUGGAAAAGGCCAGAGUGGCCUCAGGUGCCAUUUUACCCUCAGCAGCCACUGUUAGUGAGGGUCCUAGUCACUAAAGAAGGUUACAGAAUGGUUACCUGUGGGUUCUGCAGCCUUUUCCCUUGUAUUCACACAUGGCAGAGGCCUGGGCCUCAGGAGCUUAAAUUUGGGCUGUGAGGAGACCAUUUGUCCAGUGGAUCCGUUCCUAGUGUGAGAAGGCACUGGGCAGAGGCCCCUCACAGCCAGCAUCUGCAGACUCAACUUGGACAGGGAGGAACGUCUCCCUACCUUGGGUACCUUUUGCAGAGUAUCUGGAGAUGACCCCAUCAGGCCACUCUCCUGUGCCAGGAGAACCUUUUGGCUUCUGUUGAAGUUUAGAAAACCAGGAAGCAGCCCCAGGAAAGGCGGGUGAGGGCCUGGCUCAGGGGCUUUAUCUCUUCUUUCUUGAGCAAAGCUCCCUCCACCCAGCCCUUACCUUCCUUCUGCCUGGGGACGGGCUCAGGUAGGACACACAAAGCUAGGGUGACACAGCACAUUCUCCUCUUGCAGACUGGUCUUCACUUCUUCCCUAGGAGCCAGGCCUGUCUGGUUCAGGACAGCUUGGCAUCAGCCAUUUUCUUUCCUCCAUCAAUUGAUUGCUCAAAACCCCCGUGGGCAAGUAUGUCUCCUCCCCUUCCACUUCUUGGGCUUCUCUGCUUUCUGUUUUAUACUGAGAAGCUAGGAACAACAACAACAACAACAAAAAAAAAAACAUAGGAAUCCAGUAACAUCAAGAGUCUGCAGAUGCCACUCAAGUUUCUUCAGCGAGGAUAAAGGUGACCUGGCACUUCUGGUUGGCGGGGGGCAUAUCUGAGUUCACCUAGGUCCCACCUGGGUGUUUCCAGGGCCUUGUUGCUGAAAGUGUGGUCCAUGGAUUGCAGCAUCCCUACCACUUAGGAGGGGCUGGUUAGAAAUGCAGAGCCCUGGGCCCCACCCCCAGACCUCCCAAGUCAGAUCUGCAUCAUCACAGGCUCCCAGGUGAUUCAAGUGCAUAUUGAGAUACCUAUGGGAAGGACUCCUGGGUUGGUUGGUUUUUAAAUUUUCAGUCCAAUGACUAUUACCCAAAGCUUGGUCCUUGUUCCCAAUGCCAAUCCAACAACGAGGACAUGAUUUUAAGAAAAAAAGGACUCCUGUCCCAAAGGCUGGGAGUCUGCCCAUCAUGGGGAACAGGGGGCCCCAAAGUCUGAAUUACUUUGUUCCUGUGGUGGGUGUGUGCUUACGGACAGAUAACUGCCUAGGAUGUGGAAGAAAGGUAAUCUGGUUUCCCCCGAAAUUAGGGAGCAGGAGAGAGAGAGAAGAAGAGAAAGAAACAUGUGCAUUUUAAAAAUAAGUUGCAGUGUCAGGACAGCAAGGGCUAAUUCAGAGCAUAAAGUGGAGCAGUGUCACAUUUCCCCACUGUCCAUUUCCAUAUUCCAUUUCUAUGGAAAACGGAUGAUGACAUCUCUAAGCUGCCUCCUGCUGAGAGAGGGUAAAGUUGGGGGAAGUGACCCAAAUUCUUAUCAGAUGGAGCAUGGACAGUUAAGGGUAUUCAGCAUCGGGGCAGUCCAGAGGGCCAUGGUGACAGUUGAUGGGCAACUGGACAAGGCAUACGUAGGGCAGAGAUGAUGCUAAGACACCAAUAAACAAGACAGCAAAGCAUUACUUUAACAAUUAGCACAAAAGCAAUUGGUAUUUCAGCCAGUCUCUGAAAACAGUAACUCAUAAUCAUAUCAGUGAAAAACAGAUCAAAUUAUCUAUGUAGGAAGUUGGAAGAUUUGUAGGGUCUAGGAGAUCAGGCUCAAAUUGACCCAGGAUAAACUUGGGACUCUAGAGUCCUUUGUGAUCAUUAUUUUUAAUGAGUUCAAUCUCACACUAAGACCCUUCCCUUAUAGUUUUCAGCUUUACUUUUGGCAGGGCUGAUACAAAUAUACAUCUCCAGUAGGAGUCAAAGAUGUUACUAAGUGUCUUCAGUCUGUGAUAAUCUCUGGUGGUAAUAUCUUAUGCACAGAGAUUUGACCGGCCCCAGUAGGAGUGUGCUUUGGCUGUACUCUCCCGCUAAGUGUUUAAGACCAGGUUGGUUAAAACUGACCUUUUUUUCUAUCCACUGUUAAGAAUCAACUGAGAUUCCUCAGAGAUCACUCUUGGGAAUGUGUGUGAAGCCUCUUGGCUCCUUUAACUUUUCUCUGCCAGUGAUGCCACUUACCAGGAUGAGUCAGGGUCCUGCCGACCACCCGUGGCUUCUCUUGGAAGCCUCAGAGACAUUUCCCCCUCCAAUGACCCUCCUCUUUGCAGAAUGUGCACUGGUUGCCUUCUUUUCUCUAGAGUCCUCUUGAUCUCCCUGAUGGGCAGAUUGAGUGACUCACCAGAGUUGCAGGUCCCAUUGUUCUCUGGGUCCUGACUUACCUCAGAGGGCAAGUGCCAAAAUAUUGGCUGCUUUUUCCUUGGCCCUUUUACUUCCUUGACUUUGGUCUCCAAGUUUUUGGUUUUAAACACCCAGCAGGCUAGUUUCACCAGUCUUAAAGUGGGAGUAACAGGUUAUAACUUUAAUAUCUAUAAUUUUAUAGUUACCCCUUUGAAUUAAUUGGAGAUAGUAUCCUGUCUUCCCUGAUGGCUUAUUGUCUCAAAUACAGAAGCAAUAUUUCUGCAAAAUACUAACAGGCAACAAUUAUAAAGUCUUCCAAGGAAAAUAUAAAACAAACACUAAUGUAGCUUUGAUUUCUGAUUAGCCUCUGCAAAUAUAUUUAUCAACUCAAUUACAUACAAGUUUUACUUUAAUUUUUUUUUUUUUUUUUGGCUACUGGGGAUUGAACUCAGGGGCACUCAACCACUGAGCCACAUCCCCAACCUUAUUUUGUAUUUUAUUUAGAGACAGGGUCUCAGUCAGUUGCUUAGUACCUCACUAAAUUGCUGAAGCUGGCUUUGAAUUCACAGUCCUCUUGCCUCAGCCUCCUAAAUCAGUGGGAUUACAGGCGUGCACCACCAUGCUCGGCACAAGUUUUACUUUUUAAAAACUCUUUACAAACCUAAACACCUUUAAAAUUUUACCCAAAACCUUUAAUUAAAUUUUGUAUUACAUUCCCUGUUUACUUUGAGUUCACAGUAAUCUUUACAACAACAAAAAUCCAUUUUUUGAACACAACUUUAAAUAAGCUUAAUUCUAUUCUACUUCAGAACCAUCCCAAAAUGGAGAAGAACAAGAGGCAGAGCCUUAAUUCAAGCCAGGCUGGCCCCUUGACAAAUUUUGAAAAGUGUCUUCUGAAUCUGCUCUUUGCCCCUUUUAAAAAUAUCUUUCUACAAAGUUCUCAUGUAUUAUUUCCCAAGUCUAUCUGAAUCAGUUAACAUAGUACAUUACCGCUGAAACAUAAGCAGAGGUGGAAAGAGCUCUCAACUUCCCUUUUGGGGAAGAGAUGGCAGAAUGUUUUCAUUUUCCACAUUGUCAACCUUUGAAUAAAUCUGGCUCUCCUUAUUACCUUCCAAAAAUACAUUUAAAUUCCCAUCCCAGUGUAACACAAAAUUUUAUAUAUAACUUAUUAACAACGGGUUACCUUUAGCCAGUUAUAAAAUAUUAAAUGACACAAAUUCCAACCAAAUUUGUUAUUUCUUUAUAAAUCUGAAGGAGAUAUUGUACAGACAAUUUUAGUUUGGAGAAUAUCAACUUGGUAAAGUGCUCUCCUAAGCUUUAAAUUUAACUAAGUUUAACUUUGAAUAAAAUUUAGAAUCCACAAUAUAUGGGAAAAAAAUAAUCACAGGUCUGUGUGGGUUAGCAGUAUUAGCAAAAAUCAAAGGAUAGGCGUAAAUCUCUUUAUAUAUUUAGGAAACAGAGGUAAUGAUCAGAAAUUGACUUAGUCAAAGCAAACAGAUAUAAGACAGGUCUUCAAAUGGCAGUGUGGCCCUUCUAUGUCAGAAACAAAGUAUAAAAGAGAACACUUAUUGGUUACCUUGCCCAUAAACUUACAUACACUUUAUUUUAUAACAUAAAAUGAAACAUUAUUCAUUUAUAUGAAUAUGAAUGAUAUUCAUUUCAUUACUUAACACUUAAGUCUCAUACAAACAUAGUUCUCAGAUGUAUACAUAUAUCUAGUCCCAUUAGGGUGUCAACUAUAUUGUUAUAACCUAAAAUAACAGCUGUUUAUUUAACCGGGUAUAACAUAAUCAUUUAAAAGACUUUAAAACAGGUACAAACCCUAAUUCCUUUAAGAUUUAGUUUCCCUAAGUAACAACACCUAAUAGAUACAAGAAAUUAUCUUGACGGAUGAGAGCAGAUCAUUGUUGCAGACCUUGCUUCUUAUCCAUUUGAGAUUUACCUUCCACACAUUCUGCAGCUGACUUAGACAUUCACAACUUGUUUCCAUCCUUGGGUUUGUCCUAUUUUUCUUUUUGGACUUUAGCAUAAGAAUAUUACUUUACCAGACAAAAUACUUUUUUAUCCAGAAACAUUUCCUUUACCUUUGACUUUUUCAUACUAAAAUAUAUUUCCACACCUCUAACUUUCUUAUGUCUCUUUUUUUAGUUUCAGACCCUUUCUUAAAUUCAUAUUCUGAAACAGUCCUUAUUAAUGUUAUCUGUGACUUAAUUUACACAACAGAUUUCAUCCCAGGAGAGGGUUGGACCAUCUGCCUAUACAAAAACUGUGCCUGAAUAUUUUUUCCCCCAGGUGGCAUUCAGAGAGUUGGAGCACAGGAGAGUUUUGACUCUGACCUGUGUCCCUUAUUAGAAUCACAAUGCUAUCAACAUUAAAUGAGUUCCCCACUGUCAGUUGUACCCAGAGCCUCCUUUUAGGCCCUGUUCUUACACGAGGCAUAUUGAUAUCAGUGGAGGAGGCCCUUUCCACCCUUUUCUUUAGCCUUCCUUGAAGAUCCCUGGGCAAAACACAGUUGGUGGGGUUUUUUUUGUUUGUUUUCUUUUCUGGAUGCAGUUGCUUACCAGUCUCCCCAGGCAUUUAGUUUGAUGGGAUACAGUUAUAGCAAGAAUUGCUCUGCCCCAGUGACGGAUAUCCCCUGGCCAAAUGGGGUGUCCUGUCAGAUCUGAAAAGGGGAGGCUCUUCCUUGUCCCUAGGUCAUAAACAGUGCUGGAACCUACUGCCACAUCCUUUGUGGCCAGCAGUCUCCGUCCCCGUGGGCAGAAGGGGCUGGAAGGCAGGGCAGAGGCCAGCUGUCUGUGGCCACUCUUUUACAGCCCAGGCAGCUUUCCUGGGAUUUCCUCCCAGCCCAGGGCUGGUGUCCCGACCCACAUGGAGAUGACCUGGCUGAGAAACGGUGCUGGGAGUGCCAGAAUUGGGUUUAAAGGAUUUAAGUCUUCUUAAACCUUUUCUCCUGGUGUCCUGCUAUCCUUGCACACCAGAGGAAGUGCUUUCGGGAUCCAAAUUAGUUCCUGACCGUUCAGGCUCCUUAUCGUGCAACUGUAUAAAUGCCUGUACACACCAAAUCUCUAUUUUUUUGCCUAUCCUUUACCCACUGACAGACCAACUCCAACUGCAAGAUAGUAUAAUAAUCCAGAAAACCAUUCAAAGGCCAGAUUGUGUUACAGUAAAGCAUCUUUCUCUUAGACGGGCUUAUACCUAUCAGUGACCAAUUCAACCAAGAUUUCUCUUCUCAAGAGACUGCAGGUAAGAUCAGUGCAGUAUGGCCCAUGUCUUAAAGGGCCUGUAACAUACAAAAACACAGAGCCAGACAAAAGAGGAUCACUGUAGCCAUGGCUGACAGACAGGAACCUUUAAAACAGAUAGGCCUGGGCUGGGGAUGUGGCUCAAGCGGUAGCACGCUCGCUGGGCAUGCGUGCGGCCCGGGUUCUAUCCUCAGCACCACAUACAAACAAAGAUGUUGUGUUCACCGAAAACUAAAAAUAAAUAUUAAAAAAUUCUCUCUCUCUCUCUCUCUCUCUCUGUCUCUCAAAAAAUAAAAUAAAAUAAAACAGAUAGGCCUGCACAUAAAAAUUUCUUCCACUUACUUUACCUCUGAUAGACCAACUCCAUCUGCAAGGUCAUAGAGUAAUUCAGAAAGCUGUUAAAAAGCUAUUCAAACAAUUAGAUUGUUACAGUAAAAUAUUAUCUUUUCCUUAGGCAGGUUUAUACCUAUAGGUGGCCCUCUCUUCCACUUACUUUACCUCUGACGGACCAACUCCAAUUGCAAGAUCAUACAAAAAAGAAACAGACAACCAGAAAGGAUUCCCCAAACCAUACCUGACACACAGGAACCUUUAAACCAGACAGACCAGCCAACAUCUUUACCAAGAGACUUCCUAUAGGACCAGCACAGUAUGCCCAUGUCUUAAAAGUGGCAGUAACAGAUUCAAAGAAAAACACAGACAAUUAGAAGGAAUUCCCCAAACCAAGGCCAACAAACAGAUGAGAAGCUAGAACAGACCAGAAGGGAGUAAAUAUCCCUAGGUUCUCAAGUCCUGUUUAACCAUGACUCCUGUACCAGUGGCACCACAGAUGUCCCUACCAAGAGGAAACAGACGUGUGGAAUCAAGGAUCUUGGUGUGUACGCUGGGGGACUGAACAGAUGGCCAAGGGUACUGCGACUACUUGAGUUCACUUUCCUUUUUCCCAAAGUGGACCAAGAUGAAACAAUCUGUACCAUUCAGAGAGAGAAGGCAGGAGUUCUCCAAAGCAAAAUGAGCUUUGGCAGCUGCUGGCAUAGUCCCUCAGUCCCUUGCUCUAGUCAUCAGCUCCUCUGGUUCCACCCGAGACAUAUUACCUGUCUCCUCACUCUCCUGCACUUGGUGCUCAACCAGUUCUCCAGCCGCCUUGCAUCCUCAGAAUGGACGUGGGGUUGCUUGGAGAGCCGGGCCUGCCCAGAAAGCUGGAGUGGGGGCUGCCUUCGUCAGAUUUGUUACCGAAAGCUCAGUCCUCACCCCCAGUGCCGAUCCAAUAACAAGGACACAGUUUUAAGAAAAAGGAAAGAGAAGAUUUAUUGCUUUGCUUGCAAAGGAGAAGCACAGGGGACUCCUGUCCCAGAGGCUGCUGAUUCUGCCCAUCAGGCUUUUAAAGAGGUGACUCAAAAGGCUACAUUCCAUGGUUCUGUGUCCAGAGCUGUAAUUCACUUGUUAAUUUGGGUGAUAGUCAUUUCUGGUGGAGAUCUUCUAGCGCCAUCUCCAAGUCUGAAUUACUUCAUUCCUAUAGUGGGUGUGUGCUCAGGGACAGGUAACUCUGCCUAGGAUGGGGAAACAAAGUAAUUCUGUUUCCCUUGAGAUUAGGGGCAGGGGAUUAGGGAGGAGCCUGGAGAAAGGAAGAGAAAGAAACAUGUCUAUUUAAAAAAUAAGUUGCAGGGGUAGAGCAGCAAGGCCUAAUUCAAAGCAUAAAGUGGACACUCUGACAUGACCGUGAGCCUGGGUAUGUAUCAUGGCAAUUAAAACUGCUGUGAAUGCGUCCUCUCAAUUUCUUUACUUGGCUCCUUGUGGACUGGCACAGAAAACCAUCUGUGGUCCCACCCCAGUUUCGCAUGGCCACUCCGAGUCACCCUGCUGUAGGGAGUUGAGGAGUGGAAACCAGAAGCCCCUGAGCCCUGGAAACCGUAUGUCCGAGGCAUGUGUGCAUUUGUGGGAACACUCAGAGGGCUGUUCCUUCAUCUCUGCAUCAUCAUCAGAUUUUUCAGAAAGGUACCAAAAAGUAAAGAACCAUUGCGUUAGAAAGUUGGGCUGCCUUCUGAAGUGUGUGGAGAGCUUGAGCAGGCAGAGCCCAUCCUGCCAGGAAAGAGGAGUGGACACCUCAGGUGUGGGAGUCGCCGACCCCCAGGUGUCACAUGUGUAUGUAUAUGUGUGUAUAUAUAAGCACGUAUGUAUGUGCACACACAUUUUUUUCUUCAAGCUACCACCUAAACUUGCACCUUUGGAGAUACAUUUCUUUGUUGGAAGACCAUCUUCUAUUCACAUAAAUAUCUCCUUGUCUGUACAGGUCAACACGUGAGGCUCUCGACUUAAAGUGGAUUAGCAGAUGUUUUCUAGGUGGUUUAACUCAGAUACUCCAUUUGUAUCUUGUAUCUUUUCCUGGAAAACAUUGGGAAAGCAAAGGUAUUGCUUUGACCAUCUCAAAAACGUACCCCUUAUCUGUGGACUCCCAGGUUCCAGGCCUCAGGCCAGUUGCGAGACCCUCAACUGGUCUUGGGUGGCAUAGCCAUUCAUUCCCACCCUUGUGUGUUACAGGGACUGGCUGUAAUGCCUGCUACAUGGAAGAAAUGAAGAAUGUCGAGAUGUUGGAGGGGACUGAAGGGCGAAUGUGUAUCAACAUGGAGUGGGGUGCCUUUGGCGACAACGGGAGUCUGGAUGAUAUUAGAACAGAGUAUGACAGAUUGGUGGAUGAAUACUCUCUAAAUGCUGGGAAACAAAGGUAACUGCCAGGUGGAGGUGGUCCCUAAGGGACCGGUGGGGAGGGUCUGGCUAUAUUCCACUGCAGUGGAAGAGGUUUCUAGUAGAAGUAAGGUCUGGACAGAAGCUUGGAGUCUGGUCCCUUUGAUACUCCUGACCUUGACUUUUGGCCUAUGGACAGCAGAGGACCUGGGAGGAUGAGCCCCUGACAGUACAAGAUGGUCCCAGAGUAUGCCCAGAGGAUAGGUGACAGCUAACACACCACUGCCUCAUGACCUGUUUAGGCCUGGACGAGUUUGGCUUUCCCCUGCAUUUCUCCCCCUUCAAAAAAAUAUAUGGGGGUGGAGCAGUGGGUCUGGGUUGAGGCAGAGGCCCUUCCGGUUCUUCCUUCUGGAACCCUGUGAGUCUCCAUCGCCACCUAGUGGCCAUGUGGAGCUUGCAGCUCAGGUUUCAGGGACCUGGUCUGAAAUGGCAUUGGAAAUUAGAUGAAUGACCCUUUGUCUCAAGCCCCCAAGAACUAGUCUGUCCUAGUUGUGUCCCCGGAAGCAGAAAGAAGGGUUGGAUAGCACCUCCCAACAUAAGUUGGUCCCCUGCCGCUCUCAAGGUUUUGCCUUUCCUGAAUACUGCCUAUGUGUUAUUCACUUAGAGUUUUGUUCGUUGGUUUGUUUCCUCUAAUGCUGGGGAUUGAAUCCAGGAGCAUUCUGUCACCGAGCUACAUCCUUAGUCCAUUUUAUUUUAUUUUAUUUAUUUGAUUUUGAGACAGGGACUCACUAAGUUGCCCAAGCUGGCCUUGAGCUUGCGAUCCUCCUGCCUUAGCCUCCCAAGUAGCUGAAAUUACAGGUGUAUCCAUCACACCACCACACCUGGCUUAUUUAAUGUUUUUUAAAAAUCAGCUUAUAUUCUUAAAUUUAAUGGUGAAGGGGAGAAAGGUAAAACCAGUAUCGCCCUAAGUAAAUGCUAAUCGUGGAAUGAAUGUAGUGAAGAACUGUUAUUCAGUUCUAGCUAGUUCUCAUGCUCUGCUAAAGCCUCUAAACCAAGACUGCCUUUGUUGAAAGGUGAUCAGCAAGUGUUAGCAGGGCUCAAAGACACUUCAGCAGUAAGCUGAGAUUGUCCCCUUGAUGCAGUGAGAAGGGCUGGAUGGGGACCAUGGUGAUACCCACACUUUCUGCCAUUCUCUGCUGUUCCACAUAUUUUCUGUGGACCACAUGAAAUCUUCCCAAAUAUUCUGGAAUAUCCAGAUUCUCAGCUUGGGGAUCCUGGGCCUGGGUGUGUGCCAUGGAGGCAUCUAAAUCCCUAGUCAUUUCUUGAGGCCCUUGAACCUGGAAAGGGCAGGAAAUUAAAAGUCCCAAGAACAGGGUGACCUCGAGCAUUGUGGCCACUGAAUUCUCCUACCUGUGUGGCUUAUCACUCUGCUGUGUGCUUGACCAGCACUGUGCCAUUUGCAAAACCUUCAGAAAACUGAGGAAUUUUUCCCUCCGUGGUCCUCUUGUCCCUUUAAGGCUCCGUCCAGUCAUGUGCUUGUUCUGCAGCUUUGUACUGAGCACAUAGCUGAGGGCCUGGCAUGGUGCCAUGCUGUGCCCUCGGGACUCAGAGCUGAGCAAUAUGCACACUCCCUGUCCCUCCUAGGCGGUGGGCCUGUGUCAUUGUGGAGAAGGAGAAGGGCGAGGUGCAAGGGAGCCUGGCAUAGGAAGGUAGAGCCAGUCUGGGGGGCAUGUCCUCCAGGACAUGGCAUCUGGCUGAGAUUCACCCAGGCAAGCGCAGGAGGUCAGCAGGGAGGUGACCACUGAGCAGCAAGGCAUGAAUGCUGCGGGGUGGUGUCUGAUGUGGAGAGGGCGGAGGGUUCCGUGGUCCUUCCUGGUCUUUGCCUCAGCUGGGGAGCACAGGGCAGGUGUGCGACCCAGAAAGACCCUGAGAGCAAGGGCUCCUGGGAAGGACACUGCAGCCCCCUUCCUCCUGUGGCAGGUAUGAGAAGAUGAUUAGUGGUAUGUACCUGGGUGAAAUUGUCCGCAACAUCUUGAUCGACUUCACCAAGAAGGGAUUCCUCUUCCGAGGGCAGAUCUCUGAGCCGCUGAAGACCAGGGGCAUCUUUGAGACCAAAUAUCUCUCUCAGAUUGAGAGGUGAGUGGGGAUGGUUUUCUACCACCAUUUGACCGUGAGAUUGAGAGACUCCAUUUCUCCCAGCCUCAGUUUCCUCGUCUUUCAAGUGGGAAUAAUCCUACAUUUGGUGGCUAGUGGAGGACUAAACGAUGUCAUGUGUGGAAAACAUGUCACAGAGUAAAUCCUUUAAAAAGAGACUGGCUGGUCUAUCAUCACCAUCAUUGUCAUUGUCAUCUCUAUCAAUUAAAUACAAACAAGACAAAUAUACCAGGAGAAGGAAAAAAAGUUGGGGAACACAUCAGGUAGUCAUGGCCAAUAAACAAACAGUAAGUCCUCCUCCUUACUAGAGAAGAAUGCAAAGUAAACCAGGUGGCAAUGGCUGCCUUAGGAAAUGGUCAGAAGUUUUGAAAGUGCUGUUUCUUCUGAGGACACUUGUGGCCAAAUAUUGUAUUGGCUGGAGAGUGAGCUGACAUAACUUUCUGAAAGACAUCUGCCAAUGGGUAUCAAAAGCCCUUUGAGGGGCUGGGGAUGUGGCUUAAGCGGUAGCGCGUGCGUGCGGCCCGGGUUCGGUCCUCAGCACCAUGUACCAACAGAGAUGUUGUGUCCGCCAGUGACUAAAAAGUAAAUAUUGAGGGAUUCUCUCUCUCUCUCUCUCUCUCUCUUAAAAAAAAAAAAGCCCUUUGACCCAGAAAUACAUCCUAAGGGGAAAAAAAAAAUCAGAGUCACACACAAGAUUUAUAAACAAGAAAUUUCAUCAAAACGUUCCUUUAUCAUUGCAGACAAUUGCAAAUAGCUUUCUCCAGACCGGUGCACACUUGGUGCACACUUGGAGGGGAGCACUCUGGCCACCAUUCCCCAUCCUGUUCUCAGAUAGGACUGUGGGGAGUUGCUCAUCGGGUAUCACCCAGGAAUAAAAGUCAGUCCCCGGCUGCAGGCCCUGCUUCGACCAGUCACCUGGCUUUUUUUGUUCGCUGCAGUGACCGGUUAGCGCUGCUCCAGGUCCGGGCCAUCCUCCAGCAGCUGGGUCUGAACAGCACGUGCGACGACAGUAUCCUGGUCAAGACCGUGUGCGGGGUGGUGUCCAAGAGGGCUGCGCAGCUGUGCGGGGCGGGCAUGGCGGCCGUGGUGGACAAGAUCCGGGAGAACAGAGGGCUGGACCAUCUGAACGUGACGGUGGGCGUGGAUGGGACGCUCUACAAGCUGCAUCCGCAGUGAGUGGGGCUUGGGGGGGAUGGCGGAGGGCGCUGGGUGGCGAGUUCCUGGGUCCCCUGGAGGAUUACAGGUUUCAGGGUGUGGUUCCCGUCUGAGAAACUCCUCACUGGGCAUGGCUGCCUGCGACUGUGAGUGUGGGGACAGGGCAGGGGUGGGGGGCGGGUGAUGAGCAGCUCUAGGGUUUGCGGUCCUGGGGAAGUGAAGAAGGCACUUACUUGACCCUCUUACCUGACACAGUGGCUGGCGGGUGUGACCCCCUCCCUGCUCUCCUGGGCUCGCUGAGGUGUGGGUGGGGUGGCCUUGCCCCUUCAGCCUGGCCAGGGUCGGCUUGGCUGGAGGCUGUGCUUGGUGAGUCCGAAGAGGAAAUGGAAGAGGGAGCAGGGCCCAUUGUCUUGUUCACCUGCCAAGUCAAACUUGGAAGGGCAGGUGCAGUGCUGGCCCUUGACUCUGGGACAGGGAGGGGUCCAAAGUGACCUACUUUGGGUGAAGUGUCGGACAUCCCAUGCCAGAGAAGGACCUGCUCUUUGAUCUACUGCGUAUUCCAAAGCUUGGCUCUUAGGAAUAGAGUGGCCAUGCCUAAACUGGGGGUGCCUUAACCAGUGCAAGUAGCGCUGCUCCUAGUAUCUCGGGACCCUAGGCCACCUAGGCCUUAGGGUCACCCUAUUCAAAAACACCUCACCCAACGCCACAGAGAGAUUACUCGCUUACCUCAGGCCUGUGGCUGGGGUGAAGCCAUCUGCCGAGCUCCGUCCUCACCUGUCUCUCCGCCUCCUUAGCUGCCCUCAUUGUCACCAGAGGCAGCACCCGGGGAGUGGUCUAGGCUUAGUGGCUAUGUACACUUGAAUUUGACCUUGGCUUCACCUUUCAGAUGCCAUGCUCCAUUGCUUAAUCUCUGACAGUUCCUAUCUCAGUCCCAUCUUCCUGGUGGCAUAAUAGCCAUUGACAGGGCUGGAAGUCCUGUCUAUGAAGUAUGGGGCACCUAGUAGGUACUCAAUAAAUGGGACUUCCCCUGAGAACCCCAUUGUCCCAAACAUCCUCAGCCUGGCCUGUCUUUCAUGUUCAGCACAAAACACAAAUGCCUAGAGACACCUCACUUAGAGACUGUCCCUUCCUGGGGUGCUGCCUCUCUUGGCCGCAGGUGCUGGGUGGAUGGCCGCUGGGACGGGAUUCCCAGGUAGCCUCCUGAAGUAGCCAGCACUUGGCCAGCGUGGGCUUGGCUGAGUGGUCCCUGCUGGGCCUCAGCCUCCUUUUUGGCCUUCAGGUUCCCCAGGAGCCCCAGGCUCUGGGAUGGGGGUUCCCUAUGCCCUCUGCCUCGUAAACUGUUGGGAGUCACUCGUUUGGGGAUUCUCAGUUGUGCCUCCUUCUGGAAGUUGUGAUGACAGGAUUGGCAGUGUCGCGCUUUCCUCAGUCAGCUGUGGCUACUUUAAUCCGCCCCUGCCCACCUAAUUUGGGGUGCUUUCCUGAUUUCAGGAGGACCAGUGUCCCUUCAUCUCUUCUCCUUUCCCACAACUUACAUUUUCCUGAUGUUAUUUUAUUUUAUUUUCCUCUUUACCAGCUUCUCCAGAAUCAUGCACCAAACGGUGAAGGAACUGUCACCAAAGUGUAACGUGUCCUUCCUCCUGUCUGAAGACGGCAGUGGCAAGGGGGCUGCUCUCAUCACAGCUGUGGGUGUGAGGCUCCGGGGAGAAAUGAGCUAAGGGCACAGGCCCCCGCCCGCUGCCCGUCCAGCACUUGUCUCUCAAAGCGACGACCCCCCUGUUCCUCUCAGCGAGCCGCGCUGGGAGCCCUCAGCGCCAGAGCCGCCCCCCACAGCGGGGAAGGAAAGCAAUCCAACGAAUGGCACCUAUCGUAGGGUACAACCUAGAGCGUGUGCUGUUGACCAUCUCUCACCUGGACCCUCACCUGCCCUGCCACUCUGCAUGAUUUGAUCUCCACCCGGUCGUGCAUCCCCUCGUGUGAAGUGUAGCCGCACCCAUUCCUCCCGCGGGCGCCCAUCCAGCUCAGAUGAAAAGUCGCACCAUCAGACGGGCCCUGUGGCCUCCAAAGCCCGUCCUCGGGGUCGCCUCCCCUGCGUGAAGUGUAUUAUCACCAGCAGUCACUGCCGGACUCUUCCCCCGGGCCCGGGGCCCAGCCUGAAGGGCGAGUGUGGACACAGCGUGACCGCUUUCUCCCGUCCCCGCCACCCACUGUGGCAGCCUGGCGGUCCCGUGGGGGAUGUGUCGAUGCCACUAGACGUGUGUGUGUGUGUGUCCAUGGAACCGGUCCUAGCCGCACUGUGACAGUCUUGCAUUCUGUUGAUCUCGUGGGGGGAGGUGGGAAGUCCCGUGGGAAAGUGUCUUGUCUCCAUUUGGGUAAAAGGAACCGACCCACAAGCAGCGCCAUCACUGGAAUUUCCCAUCGCUUUUGUGAGCCAUGUUGUAUGACCUAGUAAACUUUGUACCAAUUCAAAAAGCCGAGUGAUGCUUGGUGGCUGGGCAGAGGGGAGGAGACCUGGGGGUGUGGCAAAAGCCAGAUGCUGGGGGAUAUUUGUGACUGUCUGGGUGGGCCAGGA